UGUGUCAUCAAAUUUGAACCCUCUGCUGAUGGAGGUUCAAUCUGCAAAACCACUAACACAUACUACCCCAAAGGUGGUGCUCAGAUCGGUGAGGAACACCUCAAGGGAGGAAAAGAGAUGGGUUUGGGAAUGGUUAAGGCUGUUGAGGCUUACCUCCAUGCAAAUCCUACUGCCUACAACUAAUUAUAAUGAAUGCUACUGAAGGACUCUUCGACAUAUUUUCUUCAAGAUUGAAGUACACACUGAGGGUGUGUUUCCUUUUUUGCUUGGUUUGCUUUAAGCUGUUUGGUUAAGUUAAAAACAAAAUUGAAUCAUAGAGAGAACAAAAAAAAUAUAGUGUUUCUUAUGGAGAAAAAAAUGGAGCUGAUGCCUAAAAUCUCACAUGGAUCCAACAAGGAUAUGCUCAAAGUUGGAAAAAUGUGCUAUAAUUAUGAUUACUCCUUUAUGAAAUAAAGCUGAAAGCAGCUCAAUUUCUUUUUGUUUUCCAUAUUAUUCAAUUUCGUUGUCGAUUUUUGAUAGUUGUAUUUUUUUUAUUGCUUUAAUAAGGGCUAUGAUUGGAUAUCCUGUUAUGCCAUUGGCUGUCGAUGCUAAACCUGAUAAAUUAGAUGGAUCAUCCAAAUAAAGACAAAAUUGGCUAUGUAAACAUUGGUGAGGGACUAUUUCAGCUUAAGAAAAAUAGUUGAGGGACUAAAUUGGCUUAUAAUAAAAUUAGGGACUACUUCAGCUUUGUAAAAAUAGUUGAGAGACUAAAUUGACUCAUAAAAAGUUUAGGGACUAUUUUGACAUUAACGAAAUAGUUUUGAGACUAUAAACAUUAGGUCACAAUGUUGAAAUAUCAAAACCCAUGUUUGGGACCAAAACUCAUAGAACUUCUUCACGUCGCUAGCGAAAUUUGAUUCUGAAGUAAUGCUAAUUUUAUUUAUUAUUUGUUUCCUUGCUGGUCUUCUGUCUUUUUGGUUACAAUAUUAAAAUGUAUCCAUAAUUUUCAAUUCCAAAAGUGUUGAAUAUUUAAACGAAUUCUAGAAAGGGCACUGAGAGUCAAAAUCUUAUUCAAACAGCCAGCCAUCUCAGAGUACAUAUUUUUUUAUUAUCAGGUUCAAAAUGUAUCUAUUGCAAUUUUUGAAUGAUCAGCCAUGACUAAGAGAAUAAAAUAAUUCACUUGCUGUUUUUAGAUGUGAAUUCAUGACUGUCAGUAGUCUAUAAAUACACUUAUUGCUCACCACUCUUUGCACCGCAAAAUCUUUUCAAGAUCUAUCAAACCCUCCUGUUCUUGAUCUUUGUCCAUUUGUGAAAAAGCAAAUUAAAGCAUCAUGGCCUCUAUCACUUGUAGUGCUGAGAUGACCUCCCCAAUCCCUCCUGCAAGGUUGUUCAAGGCCGCCAUCCUUGAUGACCACCUUCUUCCCAAGAUCAUGCCACAGGCUAUUAAGAGUGGAAAUCCUUGAAGGAGAUGGUGGAGUUUGAACCAUUAAGUUGAGCACAUUUGGUGAAGGUUAGCAGUUAUAUUAAAUGUAGAACCCAAAUUUUAAGGAUCUAAUAAUAAUCAAUGCGUGCAGGGUUACAGAAUUGGAGGGAUAAAAUAAAUACUCAAAAUAUACGUGGAAGAAAAGAAAAUAAUAAAUUCAACUCAUAAUAUUAUUGAAAUUUCAAACAAUGAAGAAAAUCAUACCACAAUAAAUUCAGCUGGUUCUAAUAAUAAUCAAAGCAUACAAGGUUGCAGAAUUAAAAGGAUAAAACAAACACUCAAAAUAUAUGUGGGAGAGAAGAAAAUAAUAAAUUCAACACACAAUAUUACUGAAAUCUCAAACAAUGAAAAAAGUCACACCAUAAUAGAAAACCUUGCUAAUUCUUCUAGAUUCUUUCUCUUGAGAAACCAACCUAAAUAAUGUCCUAUUUAUAAUCUACCAAACUUGUUAGGAAAGAAACCACUUGCAUAAGAAAUUACCAAAUAAAACAGAAAUUCCUAAAUCACACAACUACUAAAAACAUAACUCAAAUAAAACUAAAAAUAAAUAAAUAUUUCUUGGCUUAGUUUAAUUUGUCAACAUUGCCUCCCUUAAACCAAACUAUCCAUUGAGAUAGGUUCAACACCAUCUCGAGCAAUAAUUUCUAUGUUGUAGUACACUUGACAUGAAACUCUAACUUGUUACCAGUUAUUAAUUUCAUUUUUACAUGUAACAAUGGACGCACUAUGUAUUUUGUAAAAAAUUUCUCAGCAAUUUCUUCUUGAUCAAAGUACUCACUUAUACAAACACAUUCAUCACCAGAAUCACCAUAUUUACCACCAAUGUAAGUGCCUAAAAAUACAAAAUCAUAGAUUGCUUUCUGGCUAAAAUUAUCAUCACCAAAUAAUUCAAAAUAACCACUACUACAAUCAUCCAAAAUUUUCAUACUGUCAGUCAACUCUUUUGGAGUAAAGUAUUUUUCAACUCCGAUGACAUCCAUAUCUAUCAAAUCAAACAUUCUCCCAUGACUUUGAAGAGAGUCCGCAACCAACGAAUUUUUCAACAACAAUUUCAUGUUCUCUUCUCUUAUCAAAUCAAAAUUUUCUUCUUCUUUUGUCAAAUUACCAUUUUAUUUUUUUCAACAAAUUCAUUACUUCUAAUUUCUCCAAACAAGGUACGCAAAUCAAAACUAUCAAUUGAUUCAAAAUUUUCAAUAUCACCCAUAUUAUCAACAAAUCUAUCAUUUUUAAAAUCCACAAACUAAUUCCAACAACUAGACUUCGGUUUGAAAGCAUAAUUUCUCUCAAUCGUGUGCAAAACAUAGUAAAUAUUCUUCCAAAAUCUCUAAAGUAUUUUAGUACAACCAAUAAAGGUUUUAUAAAUACUUUUUGCCAUUAAUUUAUGCAUCACUUGAAAGAAUAAUUGUGCCUUUUUCUUAAAAACAUGUUUUGCCAACUUACUUGCGUCAACCCAACAAAGAAUAUCAUCCAAAUUACAUUGUUUGACAUAUUUUUCCACUGUUAAAAUCCAACCAAAUAUGUAUGUAUAUUUGUGCUUAUAGGAGUCAAUAUGAAAAAUUUUUCACCGUCAAUCAGAUCUUUAUAAUAUUCCAUUAUUUAACAAUUUGUAUACCUGAAUAAAUUUUUUUCCUCCAUCCUGUCAUGUUUUCUUGGCCUCCCUGGUUGACUAACCAAAUUAUUGUUGUAUGUAUACCCAUGCUCGUCAAACCUCAUUCGUGUACACUCGUAAGGAGUGGUUCUGAGCUUAUUGUGAAUGCUCAGUACCAAGAAGUAGAAGAGAGAAUGCAUAAGAGAGAAUUAACUUGGCUAAAGAAUUAGGAAACAAUUGAGGGAUUUUUUAAGAAAUUAAUUCUCCAACUGCCACUUUUGGAAAUUUUCUAUCAACAACUAGUUACCAAAACACUAGCACAUAGUAAGAAAUCUGGAUAAUUUCAGAAACCUCCCUUGAGGCUUUUAAUAAUCUCGAGAAGCUCCCCUCAAUUUUUAAAAUUGCACGUACCAUCCCUAUUGGUGCAAAAGUACUCUACUACCCCUAAUAGGAUACUCAAAAGACUUUUUUUAUGGGAAAAAAGAAGGCCAGAAAUCCAAGCGAAAACAAAAAAAAUCAAUUUAUUUUCUCUUUUAGCCUUUUACGCUUUUGCCUUCUACCUUUGCUCACUUUCCCAUGCCAAUCUUCCUAUAACCACUUUCCCAAUCCCCUUUCCCCAACUUUUCUUCUCUACUUCAAGACCAAUUUUUGUCCAUCAAUCCUGGCUUGUGCUUUGUUCCAUUCCCUUCCCUUCUCCUUCUUUGAUUUCCCCUAUAUCUCCCCUUCUCUUUGCAAAAGUGACUAGGCUCAUCUCUCUCCUUUUUUUCCCCAUAUUUUAAGUGUAGUGGGUUUGAUUAUUUUGCAUCUAUUUUAUUUGAUUUUGGUUGAUUAUGGGUGAUAAAACUUGGUGAUGUCACAUAUUAAAAGUUUGAUAGAUGGAUAUUGGGCUUUAGACAAUGAUUUGCUGAAAAAAAUGGCCGCAAUGAGAGGAAGAGGCAAAGGGAUUUGAGUGUGGGGUUGAUUGUUGAUGAAUUGUUGUUUUGGAAAAAAUUUGAGGUUGAGUUUUAUCAAAUUUGGUAGCAAGUGGCGAGAUUUGUUCAGGUUGCGGGAAAUAAAUUGGUUUGUGGUUUCUUGGGCACCCACAGUCGUUGGAAUUGGUUUUGAUUCAAAUUAGGGUGGUUACUUGAUUUUCCUAAUAGUGUUGCUUAAAAGCACACGAUCAUCAAAAUUCCUUAUUUUUAUCUUUUAUUUUUUUUUUGUAGAAAAGAUUUCAUGACUUUCGUGAUAGUCUAAUUUGGAAGAAGGCAAUCAAGGGAUGCAAUCAACAUUUAGCAAAAGCUCUUGUUCUUUUCUUUGUAAUUUUUAGGGUAAAAAGGGUUGUUUAGGGUAUUUGAAGGAAAUGAUAGUCUAUUGGGUCUAUUUUGAAGCAUAAAUAGUGAACGUAAGGGAGGUUGGUGUUAUUUCUGAAACCUAAGGGAAUUGUCUGAAAUUGUCCGAGACCUCGGAGGAGGUUUUCAAAAUUAUCCGUAAGAAAUCAAAUGCGAAACUUGAUUCGUACACGCACACACGACACCACACCACGUCACGCGUGUGUUGAGGACUGAUGUCCGUAGCCAACGACAAGCAGGUUUUCAAUUUUUUUUUCCUUUCCUGGAUUCAGAGAUGGUGUCAGCUUCUAUUAUUGGUGAGCAGGAGGAAAUCCACAAUAUACAGUACACAUCACCCAUAUUCUUUUUAAUUGAACAAUGUAUGAAAUUAUGGUGAUUCGAAAUUAAAUUAUAUGUUUAUUGGACAACGAAUCCAAAAUAAGAGUUGGAAAUGUAUUGUGACAACAAUUGUUAACUUUGGCCACAAAUGAUCAAAAUAAAUAUUUAAGGUUUAAUAUGACAUUAUGGGUUCAAAAUAUAGUUACUUGUUAUGAAACAACUAAAAGUGCGGAUGCCCAUUUGUAUUCUCAAAAGGAUCAAUUCAUAAUUCAUUGCUCCCAAGAUGAUUAAUUCAUAAUUCAUUGCUACAUUAUGUAAAGAAAUUACAUUGGAUGAAUGGUUUCAAUCCAUAAGAGCUAUUCAUGUAUUGGAUGAACCGUUUCAUAUGGCUAUUCAUGUUCUUGUAGUAAUGAGUGUUUAAUAGAAUUGAUGUACCUUUAAUUUUAUAGUACCUAUACAUAGAGGUACCUGGCACCUCUUCGGUGUACUUUUUGAUUAGUUGGAAUAAUAAGAAAAUCAUUCUCCAUUUCUGUACUCUUUCACUAAUAUUUCAAUUCCUAUUAUAGUAGUUCAUUUUUUUUUAGUUUUACAACACGUUAUCAGUACGAGUCUCUCCUUUUAAACAAAAAGGUGAAAACGGAGCCUCUACCUUAAAAAAAAAGUGAAACACGAGAUUUUGCCGAAAUUCUGCCGUAUUUUUCCAGUAACUUCUGUCUACUUAUUGAGAAAUGGAUGCCAAAUAUUUGGGAUUAAAUGAUGGUGAUGAUGACAUUUGUCUCAUUGAUAGUGCUACUACGCGCACUAUAUUGAAAAAUAAAAAAAUUUUCUUGUAUGAAAAUGGGAGAGACAAAUGUUAAUAUCAUAAGUGGUAGUGCAAAAUUGAUUGAAAGAUUCGGAAGAGCCACUCUAUUUCUUCCUAAAGGGACUAAAAUUGUCGUAAAUAAUGCACUAUUGUCUCCCAAGUCUCGGAGAAAUUUAUUGAGUUUUAAAGAUAUCCGCAAAAACGGAUAUCAUAUUGGGACAAUGAUUGAGACAAAUGGAAAAUUUUUAUUAAUCACAAGUAUCAUUUCUAGACAGAAAUACGUAGUAGAAAAAUUACCUUCUUUUUCUUUUGGCUUAUAUUAUGCACAAAUUAGUGCAAUUGAAAUUUAUCACCUAGUAAACCAAAAGUCUAUUCAUCCCAAUAAUUUUAUCAUUUGGCAUGAUCAUUUCAGAAAUCUUGAAUCUAUAAUGAUGAGACAAAUAAUCGAGAAUUCACAUGGUCACUCAUUGAAAAAUCAAAAGAUAUUAAAAGCAAAUGAAUUCUCCUGUGUUGCUUGUUCCCACGGAAAAUUUAUUAGACCAUCACCAGCUAAAGUUGGGACUGAAUCCCCUACAUUUCUAGAACGAAUUCAUGGUGAUAUAUGUGGAUUAUUUCGAUAAUUUAUGGUGCUAAUUGAUGCAUCAUCUAGAUGGUCACAUGUAUGUUUAUUAUCUACUCCCAACCUGGCGUUUGCGAGUUUGCUUGCUCAAAUAAUUAAAUUGCGAGCACAAUUUUCAGACUAUCCAAUAAAGAAAAUUCAUCUAGAUAAUGCUGGUGAAUAUUCAUCACAUACUUUUGACGAUUAUUGCAUGUCCAUUGGAAUAACUGUUGAACAUCUUGUAACUUAUGUUCACACACAAAAUGGUCUAGCCGAAUCAUUUAUUAAACGGCUACAAUUAAUUGCUAAACCAUUGUUGAUGAGGUUUAAACUACUUUCAUCUGCUUGCGAACAUGCUAUAUUACAUGCAGCAACACUUGUGAGAAUUAGACCGACAAGUUAUCAUACUUAUUUUUCCCUACAAUUAACUUUUGGUUAUGAAUCCAAUAUUUUUCAUUUAAGAAUAUUUGGUUAUUCAGUUUGUGUUCUAAUUGCACCGCCCCGACGUUGUAAAUUGGGCUCGCAAAGAAGAUUGAAAAUAUAUGUCGGGUAUGAAUCACCUCUAAUUAUUAAGUAUAUGGAACCAUUGACAGAUGAUUUAUUUAUUGCGAGAUUUGUAGAUUGUCAUUUUGAUGAAUCAGAUUUUUCAACAUUAGGGGGGAGAUAAAAAUCAACCGAAAAAGGAAAUCACUUUAAAAAUAUCAUUGAAUUUUCUCGAUUCUCGUACAAAAGAAUGUGAACUAGAAAUUCAAAAGAUUAUACAUUUGCAAAAAAUUACAAAUCAAUUACCGGAUGCAUUUAAUGACUCCAGAAGAGUUACUAAAUCACAUAUUCCUAUUGAAAAUGCUCUGAUUAAAAUUAAUAUCCUUGAAGGACAAAUUACAAGUGCUAAUGAGUCUAAAGUGCGCCUGAAGCGUGGGAGAUUUCUUGGUUCCAAAGAUAAAAAUUUUCGAAAGAAAAGAGGAGUACAUGAAUCAACAAUUAAUGACAAAAUUUAACCUCCUGAAGAGAUCGCUCCUAAAGAGCCAAUUCUUGAAGAGAAUAAAAUCAUAGAAAAUUCAAUAAAUUUUGUCACUUCAGGGAAAAGUUGGAACCGAAAAGAAAUAAUUAUUGAUAGUAUUUUUGUAUAUAAUGUAGCACUUGAUAUUAUGGUAGAGAAUGGGGAUUACGAGCCUAAAUCGAUUGAUGAAUGUCGACGUAGAAAUGAUUGGCCAAAAUGAAAAGAUGCGAUCCAAUUUGAAUUGGACUCACUGGUUAAAAGAAAAGUUUUUGGACCUGUAGUCCAAACACCUGAAGGUGUGAAGCCAGUAGGAUAUAAAUGGGUAUUUGUGAAAAAAAAAUGAGAAAAAUGAAAUCGUGAGGUAUAAAUUAAUACUUGUAGCCAAAGGAAUUUCACAAAGGCCUGGAUUUGAUUAUGAUUACACGUAUUCACUUGUAGUGGAUGCUAUCACAUUUAGAUAUCUUGUGAGUUUUGCAGUACAUGAAAAAUCAGAUAUGCAUCUAAUGGACGUCGUUACUGCAUAUUUAUAUGAAAAUCUUGAAAAUGAUAUUUAUAUGAGAAUUCCCGAAGGAUUCAAUAUGCCUGAAACAUGCAAAUCAAAUCUUAAAAAUAUUUAUUUAAUUAAAUUACAAAAGUCUUUGUAUGGAUUCAAACAAUCUGAACGUAUGUGGUACCGCCUUAAUGAAUGUUUAACUAAAGAAGGCUAUACCAAUGAUCCAAUAUGUCCAUGUGUCUUUAUCAAGAAAAAUGGAUCAAAUUUUGUGAUAAUUGUUGUAUAUGUUGAUGAUCUAAAUAUGAUUGGAACACCUGAAAAGAUUCAAAAUAGUGUUGAAUAUUUGAAAAAAAAUUUGAGAUCAAAGAUUUUGGAAAAAUAAAAUUUUUCCUUGGUUUACAAAUUGAGCAUUUGAAAAGUGGAAUUUUGUCCACCAAACUGCUUAUACCCGGAAGGUAUUAAAGCGAUUUUAUAUGGAUAAGUCACAUACAUUAAGUAUUCCAAUGGUCAGAUCAUUAGAUCCUAAUAAGGACCCUUUUAGACCGCGAGAGGAAGAUGAAGAGAUACUUGGUCCUAAAGUACCAUAUCUCAGUGCAAUUGGUGCACUACUGUAUCUUGCUAAUUGUACAAGACUUGAUAUAUCAUUUACAAUAAAUUUAUUAGCAAGAUUUAUUUCCUCGCCCACAAGACGACAUUGGAAUGGUAUUAAACAUAUUUUUCGUUAUCUUUAAGGAACAAAUUGAUCUUGGCUUAUUUUAUUCAAAUAAAUCUAAACUUGAAUUGCUUGGUUAUGUUGAUGUUGGAUAUUUAUCUGAUUUGCAUAAAGCAAGAUCUCAGACUGGUUAUCUAUUUACAUAUGGAGGUACAACCAUUUCUUGGCGAUCUAGAAAGCAAUUAUUAGCCGCCACUUCAUCGAAUCAUGCUAAAAUAAUAGCAAUUCAUGAGGCUAGUCGAGAAUGUGUUUCGUUAAGAUCAAUGACCUACUAUAUCCGGAAGAGUUGUGGGUUAUCCUCUGAAAAAGAAAAUCCUCCGACUAUAUUUUAUGAAGAUAAUGCAGCUUGUAUAGCUCAAUUGAAAGGAGAAUAUAUUAAAGGAGAUAGAACGAAAUAUAUUUCACCAAAAUUCUUUUUUACUCAUGAUUUACAAAAGAAUGGUGAAAUUGUUGUGCAACAAAUCCGAUCAGAUAAUAAUUUGAUAGAUUUAUUUACUAAUGUAUUGCCGACUGCAAUAUUUGAGAAAUUGGUGAAGAAUAUUGGAAUGCGACGACUAUAAAAUCUCAAAUGAUAUUUGCAUCAGGGGGAGAAAUCAAUACACAAGAAUAGUGUACUCUUUUUUUUUCACUAGAGUUUUUGUCCCGUUGGAUUUUUUCCUAGUAAGGUUUUAAUAAGACAUAUUCUUUGUGUAAUUAAUAUCCAAUGGGGAGUGUUAUGAAAUAACUAAAAGUGUGGAUGUCCAUUUGUAUUCUCAAGAAGAUCAAUUCAUAAUUCAUUGCUCCCAAGAGAAUUAAUUCAUAAUUUAUUGCUACAUUAUGUAAAGGAAUUACAUUGGAUGAUCGGUUUCAAUCCAUAAGAGCUAUUCAUGUAUUGGAUGAACCAUUUCAUAUGGCUAUUCAUGUUCUUGUAGUAACGAGUGUUUAAUAGAAUUGAUGUACCUUUAAUUUUGUAGUACCUAUAUAUAGAUGUACCUUAGCUGAUAGGUUGCAAUUUUAUCAUUUAUUUUAUAAUUAAUUUCUCCUAUUACCUGACUUGAUGUGGAUUAAUUGCGGGAUUCUACUCACUUUUAGUAUUUUGCAUUUAUUUCAGGGAGUAGAGCGAAAAUAUAAUAACAGGUGCUAAUUUGACAAAAAAAGAGUCCAAGGCACAGAGCUUAUCCCGGGGGCAUUAUUGGCAAAGGAAGACUUUUGCCCAUUUUGGUAAUUUCAAAAGAAGAGAGCAGGGCAGAGGCCUCUAUUUUACUGGAGGCUGGAGCGCCGCACAAAGGGAGCUUCUUCUUCCUUCGGAGGCUCCGUCCUCUCCGCAAGGGGGCUGCCGCACACAGCAGCCAUUAGAAUAGGAGCAAUUGAUAUAUGACAGAGAAUGAGCACUAGCACCAGGGAGUUGCCUUUGUUGACUUUUCUUCCCUUUUAGUUCUUAGUAGUUGUUUUACCUUCCUCGUACGUAGGACCUUUAGCAUAGUUUCCUUUUGACUUUCCCUUGAGUCUUGGGUGGAUGUCUCCUGCGCAUGUCAGGAGCAAUUGAAGGUCUCGGUCACUUUCUGUAUUCUUCCAUCAACUGAGCGAACUGAGCUCCCUUGGUCAAGGGCAAUGGCUGCGGCUUCCUCUCCAACUUUGUGUGGGAUUCGUUCACCAGGAAUGAACUAAUUUUUCUUUUCUAGUCAAGGAACAACGGAGGUCUUGGUUGGCCUAAAUUUGUGAGAUCGAAUUAGUUUUUAUUUAUUUCCAUUAUUCACUGGUAUUUGUCUAUCUUCUGCUUUAUGUUCAUAUGGUUGUUUUAUUAUUCGAUUAUCCAGGGCCCGGAUACUAGAUUAAUUCAAUAACCUGAAGCCAAUUAGGAUAGUUAAAUCCGUAAUUGUUUAAUUAUUCUAAACUGCUGGCAACUGGCAUGAUUGGGUUUGUGUCAGGGGGAUAAACAUGCUAACUUAAAGAGACCCUCGUAGCGUGUUGAUUGGUUAGAAUUAGGCUCUUCUAAUUAUUCAUGCAAUUAGGGAAUUGAACUUCUAUGGUCGUACCUAGGGUUAUUUCCUGAUUAGAGAAAUAGUCAACGGUCGUACCUUGGCUAUCGACAAAUUGAGGAAGAGUUGGUUGUUUAUCGCGUGUAUGGCAACUAUAACUAAUUUAUCAGAUAGUAACUGGAAUAAUCCUUGCAUCUGUGAUCGAAUUAAGUGAACCAUCUCCGAAGUUGUCUCUUGGCUAGAGUUCGUCAAUUAUUAUUUUUAUUGUGAUAAUUAGUUAUUUGAGUUGUAGUUAUUUUAUUUUAUUUAUUCCAAGUAAUUUAGUUACUCUCAUUUUCAAAAACCCCCCAUAUCUGGAACUUGAGAAGAAAUUAAAUUAUCCCCAGUCCCUGUGGAUUCGACCCUGCUCACCGCUAUAUACAGAAUUUGUAUUUUAUUUGAGCAGGUAUUUAUUAUUGCACAGGUUCGGCACCUGUCAAUUUUUUGCUACAUUAUGUAAAGGAAUUACAUUGGAUGAUCGGUUUCAAUCCAUAAGAGCUAUUCAUGUAUUGGAUGAACCAUUUCAUAUGGCUAUUCAUGUUCUUGUAGUAACGAGUGUUUAAUAGAAUUGAUGUACCUUUAAUUUUGUAGUACCUAUAUAUAGAUGUACCUUAGCACCUCUUGGGUGUACUUUUUGAUUAGUUGGAAUAAUAAAAAAAUCAUUCUCCAUUUCUGUACUUCUUUCUCUAAUAUUUCAAUUCCUAUCACAGUAGUUAUUUUUUUUUAGCUUUACAACAUUACUUAAAUAAGAGAGUUAUUGGACUAUAUGUUUAUUGACCUCUACUAACUUAUUUAAGGUCAUUUCAUAUCACUAUCCAAAGAAGAAUUAAGGUCAUUUCAUAUCACUAUCCAAAGAACAAUUCUUGGGCGCUAACAUUUUUCUUACAUGACUAUUAAUGAAAGUUGACCCAAAUCUCUCUGUCUCUCUCUUUCUUUCAAUUCUUAGGACUGAUGCCAAUUCUUACCAUUUAGAAAGAAAAAUUAGAUUGUUUAUAUAUAUGAUGAGUUCCCUCUAAGUCAUGGUUAAGAAAAAUUCUUAGUUAAACGCAGUUUUAUGAAAUGUGAAUUUCCUUUUCUUUGUCUUUAUUCAUUAGUAUUAUUGGGGUUAUUGUAUUAUGAUUGCAAUGCACAGAUACAUGGAUUUUUGACAUUUUUUCUUUUUAAUUGACUCUGACUAUGCCUCAAACUCGAGACAUCAAACCUGGACACGACUUUUGUCCAAAAUGCUUGUAAAAAUUCAGAAGAAUAAUUUUGGACCUUAUUAUUUGAUAAUGGUACAAUUAUGAGAGUCAUUCCAGGUUAAUUAUCAAACUUGGAACUUGAAAAUAAUGUCGACAUCAUGUCAUUAUUAUUUUUUAGUUUCAUAGAAAAAUGAAGUAUUCUCCAACUCGACAUUAUCAUAGUAUUUUCAAUUGGCAGCUCAUGUGAGAAAGACAAGAAAUUCACAAUCAACUGGCCAAGAGAGUGCCAACAAAGAAAGCACUAAAUGGCUUAAACAAUGCAUGCAAAUUUGCUUGGCACUUAAACAAUAGACACCUAAAUCAACCAUGUCACUGUCUUGCCAAAAAAGGGCAUUAAAGUAAAAACAACUCAUGCCUACCACAGGUAACAAACUUCAGCACCUUCACUUCACUACCAUGUCAGCAACAACAUUUGCAAAUUUCCAAGGAAGUCCACGCACUAAAGGUGCCCAUGCCCUUAGGGGACCUCAGGUUAGUGUUCUUAACCUCAACUCCUGUCUUUCUGUUCUUAGGAAAUAUUGAAAUUAAACGUUAUAACUAAUCCUGAUUUCCUUGUGCUAUAUUUGUACACAAUUUGGCAACAAGGGUAAAAAAAAAUAAAAAUAAAAAGGUUUAUCUGCAAACUGUAGUUCGGCCUGGCUCUUUUUUUUUUUUUUUUUUUUGGGGAUAAGAUCAUCUCAGCACCCGCAGACCCCGUCAUGUAUCAAUAUUUCUGUACUUAGCAUUGGCUUCUUCUCGCCUGAAGAACACACGAACCACCGAAAUAGAUGGUGCAUGAAAGUGCACUUAACCCUUUUAAUUUUUCAAAACAAUCUUUUAGAAAAAAUAAUAAAAACUUUUUGAAUUUAAUUUUAGAGAAGAAGAAUUUUAAAAUUUUUUGAAUUUAAUCUUAGAGAAGAAGAAGUUUAAAAUGUACUUUAAUUUUCACAACUGAUGAUGAAAAUAGCAAAAUGUACACGGAUAGUGACAAAAGUGGGAUCACGGGCAGGAAAUCCUGAAGGUUGCGUGCAUUUUACACACGGCAUAAUUCUGUUUGUAUAUAGUGUAAUUUACUUUUUACAACGUGUAAUUUUAAAACAAAAUUUUGUAAGUCUCACACAUUUUAUUAAAAAUAAGGUACAAGAUGAAAUUUGGACCAUAUAAUUUUUUUUAAUCAAAUCUUGACCGUGAACUGCUCAGAAACGGUUUACCUGAUGACCGUCCCUGGUCCAAACCCGACAAAGGUGCCAUCUUAUCCUUUUACUGACUGGCCCGUUUUCCAAUGAGAGGGCCCAGAAGGGGUGCCUCUGCUUCAUAGUUUAUCCAUAUUGAUAUUUCUUUUCUGUCCCCCUAACUAUUAAAUGUGAAAGGUUGCCCACCAAAUUUGACGAAACCGUUUAUCCUAAUUGAUUAUUAUCAAUAGGGCAUAACUUUAAUAUUCUUCUUCCAACCCUUUCUGGUGAUUCCUGCAACUCCAGCCGUCCGUCAAUGACCAUAAAGCACCAUUAACCGACAACUAACUAACCACUAUUAAUCUAUUCUCAAAUUUUAAUGAAAUUGCACAAUCUAUUCUCAAAUCAAAUUUGAACAACAUUUUAUAGUCGAUAACUUUGAAACUUGAUAAAAAAGUCUGUUUAAACUCGGUUUAGUAAAUAAACAAAUCAAGUUUGAACAAAAUUUUAAACUCAUUAAAAUAAUUAAACACGUUUGAAUAUUAGGGUAUUCGAUUUAAUUAGACACGUUUGUAUCCCUAAUUAAAGCAUGCACUUUUAUAAGUUUAGGAAUCAACAUUAUACAUUUAAUAGCUAGCUAGAGGGUCAAAAAGUUAAUUGCCUUAAAUUCUUUUAGCAGCCAUAAGGUACAGUUGGAGGGAUUCCCUUGAAAUUGGUUAGAUUCUUCUAUGUGACUAAAGAAUUUCGGGUGUGACGCAUUACUAGUCCUACCCUAAAAAAAAAUGGUAUUACUAGUCCUUUUUUUCUUUUUUGGCGUGCCCCCGUCGUGGGAUGUGGGGAGGGGAGUCUGUGCGAGAAUUCUAGGUCGGGGUACAAGGAGCCAAAGUUCACCUUAUUCAAAGUAAACAACCGUCCAUCUCAGUUGUCGACUUUCCUGUCGAUUGCGUAUAUAUAUAUAUUACUAUCUUUUACCAUGACUUUAGAGGAUAGCUAAUUUUGCUUGCUAUUAAAUAAUAAUUUCGGUAGUCUAUAAAUACUCUUGUUCCUCACCGCUCCUAGCACCACAUAAUUCCUUCAAGAACAGCCAAAACCUUCUUGAAAUCCCUCUUUUUCCUUCUAGUUCAUUUCCAAGAAACAAAUGGCCCCUGUCACUUCCAGUUAUGAGGUCACCUCCUCAAUCCCUCCUGCAAGGUUGUUCAAGGCCACCAUCCUCGAAGAGAAGCAUCUUCACAAGAUCUUGCCACAGGGCGUUAAGAGUGUCGAAAUCCUUGAAGGAGAUGGUGGAGUUGGCACAAUUAAGUUGACCACAUUUGUUGACGGUAAGAUAAUCAAUACAAAGUGAUUAUUUUCACACAUUUGAAGUCUUCAAAUUUUUCUCUUUUUUUCCCUUUUAUUUGGGAAAAACUAAUGACUUUUUUUUUUUGGUUGGGUUAAAUAUUUAGGUGGCGAGCAUAAGACUGCCAAACAGAGAGUUGAUGGAAUUGACAAAGAAAAAUUUACAUACAGCUAUACUGUACUUGAAGCUGAUGGAUUUAACGAUGUAAUCGAGAAAAUCUGUUGUGUCAUCAAAUUUGAACCCUCUGCUGAUGGAGGUUCAAUCUGCAAAACCACUAACACAUACUACCCCAAAGGUGGUGCUCAGAUCAGUGAGGAACACCUCAAGGGAGGAAAAGAGAUGGGUUUGGGAAUGGUUAAGGCUGUUGAGGCAUACCUCCAUGCAAAUCCUACUGCCUACAACUAAUUAUAAUGAAUGCUACUGCAAGGACUCUUCGACAUAUUUUCUUCAAGAUUGAAGUAUAAACUGAGGGUGUCUGUUUCCUUUUUUGCUUGGUUUGCUUAAGCUGUUUGGUUAAGUUAUUCGCAGCAAGAGAAUAAAAUAAUUCAUUUGCUGUUUUUAGAUAUGAAUUCAUGACUGUCAGUAGUCUAUAAAUACACUUAUUGCUCACCACUCUUUGCACCGCAAAAUCUUUUCAAGAUCCAUCAAACCCUCCUGUUCUUGAUCUUUCUCCAUUUGUGAAAAAACAAAUUAAAGCAUCAUGGCCCCUAUCACUUGUAGUGCUGAGAUGACCUCCCCAAUGCCUCCUGCAAGGUUGUUCAAGGCCGCCAUCCUUGAUGACCACCUUCUUCCCAAGAUCAUGCCACAGGCUAUUAAAAGUGGAAAUUCUUGAAGGAGAUGGUGGAGUUUGAACCAUUAAGUUGAGCACAUUUGGUGACGGUUAGAUGUUAUAUUAAAUGUAGAACCCAAAUUUUAAGGAUCUAAUAAUAAUCAAUUAAUAAUAAUCAAUGCGUGCAGGGUUACAGAAUUGGAGGGAUAAAACAAAUACUCAAAUAAAUGUGGAAGAAAAGAAAAUAAUAAAUUCAACUCACAAAAUUAUUGAAAUUUCAAACAAUGAAAAAAAUCAUACCUUAAUAAAUUCAGUUGGUUUUAAUAAUAAUCAAAGCAUACAAGGUUAAAGAAUUAAAAGGAUAAAACAAACACUCAAAAUAUAUGUGGGAGAGAAGAAAAUAAUAAAUUCAACACACAAUAUUAUUGAAAUCUCAAACAAUGAAAAAAGUCACACCAUAAUAGAAAAUCUUGCAAAUUCUUCUAGAUUCUUUCUCUUGAGAAACCAACCUAAAUAAUGUUCUAUUUAUAAUCUACCAAACUUGUUAGGAAAGAAACCACUUGCAUAAGAAAUUACCAAAUAAAACAGAAAUUCCUAAAUCACACAACUACUAAAAACAUAACUCAAAUAAAACUAAAAAAUAAAUAAAUUUUUCUUGGCUUAGUUUAAUUUGUUAACAUUGCCUCCCUUAAACCAAACUAUCCAUUGAGAUAUGUUCAACACCAUCUCGAGUAACAAUUUCUAUGCAAAUCUAUGUUGUAGUAUACUUGACAUGAAACUCUAACUUGUUACCAGUUAUUAAUUUCAUCUUUACACGUAACAGUGGACGUACUAUGUAUUUUGUAAAAAAUUUCUCAACAAUUUCUUCUUGAUCAAAGUACUCAUUUAUACAAACCCAUUCAUCACCAGAAUCAUCAUAUUUACCACCAAUGUAAGUUCCUAAAAAUACAAAAUCAUUGCUUGCUUUCUCGCUAAAAUUAUCAUAACCAAAUAAUUUAAAAUAGCCACUACUACAAUCAUCCAAAAUUUUCAUACUGUCAGUCAACUCUUUUGGAGUAAAAUAUUUUUCAACUAUAAUGACAUCCAUAUCUAUCAAAUCAAGCAUUCUCCCAUCACUUUGAAGAAAGUCCGAACCAACGAAUUUUUCAACAACAAUUUCAUGAUCUCUUCUCUUAUCAAGUCAAAAUUUUCUUCUUCUUUUGUCAAAUUACCAUAUUAUUGUUUCAACAAAUUCAUUACUUCUAAUUUCUCCAAACAAGGUACGCAAAUCAAAACUAUCAAUUGAUUCAAAAUUUUCGAUAUCACCCAUAUUAUCAACAAAUCUAUCAUUUUUAAAAUCCACAAACCAAUACCAACAACUAGACUUCGGUUUGAAAGCAUAAUUUCUCUCAAUCGUGUGCAAAACAAAGUAAAUAUCCUUCCAAAAUCUCUAAAGUAUUUUAGUAUGACCAAUAAAGGUUUUAUAAAUACUUUCUGCCAUUAUUUUACACAUCACUUGAAAGAAUAAUUGUGCUUUUUUUCUUAAAAACAUGUUUUGCCAACUUACUUGCAUCAACCCAACAAAGAAUAUCAUCCAAAUUACAUUGUUUGAGAUAUUUUUCCACUGUUAAAAUUCAGCCAAAAUAUGUAUGUCUAUUUGUGUUUAUAGGAGUCAAUAUGGAAAAUUUUUCACCAUCAAUCAGAUCUUUAUAAUAUUCCAUUAUUUAACAAUUUGUAUACCUGAAUAAAUUUUUUUCCUCCAUCCUGUCAUGUUUUCUUGGCCUCCUUGGUUGACUGACCAAAUUAUUGUUGUAUGUAUACCCAUGCUUGUCAAACCUCAUUCGUGUACACUCGUAAGGAGUGGUUUUGAGCUUACUGUGAAUGCUUAAUACCAAGAAGUAGAAGAGAGAAUGCAUAAGAGAGAAUUAACUUGGCUAAAGAAUUGGGAAGCAAUUUAGGGAUUUUUUAAGAAAUUAAUUCUCCAACCGCCACUUUUGGAAAUUUCUAUCAACAACUAGUUACCAAAACACUAGGACAGCGAUCCGUCUCUAUUUUACUCUUCAAGUCUUCGCCGGGGAAGCAACCCGGCCUUGCGAGACUAUAAUGAAUAGGCACUUGCCUUCUGUUUUUACUUUUUUUUUGUUCAAAGACUAUAAUGCCCUUAUUAUUUGACUGCGCAUCUCGCAAGAUAAUGCUUUCCAUCAAAAUUAACUGUUGGGUUUGACAGAAGCGCCACGAAUAUUCUAUUUUAUUAGAUCCAGAGUCAAAAUUUUACCGUUAAUUGUUAGAGGGUUAAAACUUUAUCUGGAAAGGAGUUGGAGGGCCAUUGGAACUCUUUUUCCAAAAAAAAAAAAAAGUCACUUUUGUCAUUUGUCCAAGAACAGUUCUGGGGCCAUCUCGACAGUAUAUAUUUUUCUUACAUGCCAAGACAAUUAAUGAAAAUUGACCAAUAACACACGCACACACACACACACACACACACACUCUCUCUCUCUCUCUCUCUCUCUCUCGGUUGCUGCCAAGUCUUUCCAUUGAAAAAGGAAAAUUCAUAUUGUUUACAUAGAUAAAUUACCUCCAGUCCGUGGAAUGUCUUGAUGUUAGGUGAGUUCUAAUAUUUUGGUAUCAUCUAGAGGUGGCAAAUCAACCCACUUAACUAAAUUUACCCAUAUCCGCCCAUGAAUAGAUGGGUAUGGAUAUCUUAAAUUUUUGUAUAUGAGUAUAAAUGGGUUACCCAAUAAUACCCAUUUAAAUGGGUAACCCAUCAAACCCAAUUAACCCAUUUAGAAUUCUCUUCCCCUCAAGUCUCUUCUUUUCCCCCACCUUUUUUUUUUUCAAAUUUUUCAUUUUGUCAUGAUGUUAACUACUUUUGUUUUAUUAUUAUUAUUUGUUGGUUUUAUCUUAUUAUUUUAUUUUCUCUUAGUUUGUUAACUUACUCAUUUUUUACCAUUACCAAUUUAUGAUAAAUUUUAGCCUAUUUUCUUAUCUUUAUAAAAUGAAAUUUUAAAUUUAUAUAUGAAAAAAAUGUUAGGGGUUCAAAAAUUUUGGAUUAAGUUUUUAUAUUAAUUUUUAUAGUACUUAGUUCAAAAUUUUAUAUUCUUAUUAUUCAAUUAUUAAAUAAUAGGUAAUUUUGUGACAUAGAGUAUAAAUGAAAAAAAAUUGGUAAUUAAGUUUAUUGAACAUUAUAAGUAAAUAUUUAAAACUAAUGAUGGGUAUAAAGAGUGAUAUAAAUUGAUAACUUAGUUUGCAAAAAUGAAUUUAAAUGAGUUUGCAAAAAGUUAAAAUAAAUGGGUUAUAAAUGGGUAAUUGGGUUACCCAAUUCAUUUUUUGACUUGCCUAUUUAUACCCAUAUAAUUAAAUGGGUAUAAAUGAGUUGACUCACUUAUACCCAUUACCCAUUUUACCCAACUCAAACCCGCCCAAGUCACCCAUUUUGACACCUUUAGUAUCAUCUAAUGUUCAUUUGUGAAAGAUUGAGAAAUGAUAAAGAGCAAAACACCAAUUUAUUCCAUAAAUUAUUUUGCUAAAAUCAAAAUAGUCCAUAAAUUUUCUUUUGGCCAAAUUUUUGUCAUGAACUUUCAGAAACGGUUGCAGGGGAUUUCAUCCGGAUUGCUUGUGCAGUUGAGUAACUAUACAGAAAUUCUUUUUGGGAUGCUGAGUAUCUUAGGAUGGGUACAAUGAUCGCUUAGAUCAGUAGAGAUGAUUGAUGAUGUAGUAGGGGAAGAUUCCCUUUAUAAAGCUGAUUUUCUCAUGAUUAAUAAGAAUAUAAAUGUUACCAAAUUUUCUUUUCAAAUGUGUAACGAAAAUAUUGGCCAUGAUCAGCAAGACCUCCUUAAUUAUAAAAGUUUCUUGAAUGUCAUCAUCCAAUUUGUUUAAGCGAGGAUUUUUAAAUGCUAUCUUUAAGCAAAUUGAUUUUUGUAUUAUAGAUACUUACUACUAUUACUUCAUACCUAGCUACAAACCUCAUGUAUGUUUUAGUUUUAAUCCAGAACAAAUCAGGGCCACGGGCCACCUUGCACAUAGCGAGAGUGGAAAAAUAAAACUACACAAUUGCUUUUUUGAAGCCAGUGACUCAACUGAUUUUGCGCUCGGCAAUUCAUCCGAUUUUCAUUAAAAGGGCCCUAAGAGGCCAUUGGCGUUUUGGGCCUGUGAAAAUUUGGAUGAUUUGGUGUGUCCAAUGCAUGUGUAAGCACAAAUUUUGUUGUCUAAAAUAAAAGACAAGAAAACUUACAUAAAUAUCAAAUUUAUUAAAUUAAAUAACAAGAGGGUUACAAUAUUUGAAAAUUUUUGAAUCAAAGAAAUUAAUCUCCUAAUUUUUAUCUUCAAAAGGCUUUAAUCGGAAGGCCAAAAAGGCUUGUUCUCCGAUCAAGAGGGUGUUUUCUAUGAUUUCUAUGUAAAAAACGGCUGCUUUGAUGAUGACGUUAAUAUUUGAAUCUUUAAAUCUUCAACGCCGAUGGAAGGAGGAUUUAUUUAACUUAAUUUGGAUUUGGAUUUGAAUUUGAGGGAAAAAGCUCUCAAGAGAAUUUGACAAAGUUACUUUGAAAUUUAGGAAUUUUAAUGUAUUUUUGCCUUGAGGGAAGACCUUUAUUUAGAGUCAACAUAUGCAAGCUAUGUCUUCAAGAGAAUCCUUCAAAACCAUCUUGCGUUUGGGUAACUUGUACCUUAAGAAACCCAUUUAACUUGGAGUUAAAUAGUCGGCCGACCCAAAUAGUCAAUUGUGAAUUAACAAAUCAAUUAAAUCACUUUAAUUUAAAUGGGCAUCACAUUUUUUAUUUGAUUUAAUAGCUCAUAUAACAUUGGCUCAAUUUGUCAAUCCAAAACAUAAUGAACUUCUAUAAUUUAAUUUAAUUUAAUAAAAAUCAAUUUAAUUUACUUAAUCUUGCCUAAAAAUAAAUUAAAUAAAUUUUCGUUGUCUAUGUCCCCACUUCAAAACUUGGCAAGGCAUUGCAUGUUUAUUUGAAUUAACUUAAAACUUCUUAAUACGAUUCAUCUAAGCACCUUUAUAUAUAUAUAUAUAUAUAUAUAUAUAUAUAUAUAUAUAUUUAUUUAUUUAUUUAUAUAUAGAGGUACAGAAGACAUGUCUUUGUCUUGAAACUGUGACAAACAGGACACUUAAGACAAGGGCGUGUGAAGACUAUCGCACUAUUUGAGCGAAAAAAACCUGUUUUGCACGUAUAUUUUGAAGGUAAUCAUCUUUAUUGUCUUUUGACAACUUCAUGUUGGUCGAGUAUCAGAUAUUCACCAAAUUUUGUUGAAAUUUGUCAAAACUUGAUUUGUUUCCAAUUUGGAGAAAAAAAAAGAUUUUUUUCUUCGUUUCUGCAAUUUUCCAGGUCACUCUUUCCUAUCAACAUGUUACGAUUCAGAAAUUGAGACAAAUCUUGUACAUAGGAAUCUUUUUUAACAGCUGAUGGUUGGAAUUUAGCAGACACCUUGAAGUCAAAGAAGGCAAAUAGCAUUCCAAUAGCAUUAUUUGGUUGCAUGCCAUAUCCAAGAUUUUCACUAGUAAGCCACCAUUUUCUUGCUUUUGAUUGUUAUUCAUUCUCUGUUGCGCAAUUUUAUUUUCGCACAAUCUAUUUUUUUCGUUGAAUUUUCUCUUUUGCAAAACAGCGACCACCAAGGAAAGACAGAAAGAUUUUUUUGUUUUUGUUUUUGUUUUUGUUUUUGUUUUUUUUUUUAUGGUUGCACCUUGUGUUGGCACCCCUUAUUUGAAGCAAGUUGAUGUUCCAGUUGUGUUGGGGAUUUUAGGGCCAUAGCUCUUAGAACUCAAAAUACUAAUGUAAUUUCCGCACUCCAUGACAUUUACUUCUUGUCAAUGCCAAACUCUCCUCUUUUUUUUUGUGAUAUGAAAGGAAGAUCUCUCGUUGCAACAUAUAUGGUGGACACUCAAUUUGAAAGAAGGUGCAACCACCAACUUGCACGAGAGCCAUAUCAUGGUUUGAGGAGUAUAAUGAAAAUGAUGCAACUGCAAACUCUUAUGAGAGCCAUAUCAUGGUUGAGAAGUACAAUGAAGAUAGUGCAAUCAAAAAUUUGAAAAAGGUGCAAUCGCAAACUCCCAUGAGAGCCUAUCAUGGAUUGAGGAGUACAACGAAGAAUGUGCCACAAAAAGUUGAAAAAUGUGCAAUCGCAAACUCGCACGAGAGCCUAUCAUGGUUUGAGGAGUACAAUGAAGAAGGUGCAACUACCCACUUCAAUGAGAGCUUACCAAAACUCGAGAAGCCCUUUCAUUUAACUUCACAUUGACUAUUUAUUACUUCUCUCACUGUCUUCGAUCACACCAUUGUAAUCAAAUUUUUUUCUCUUGCUUUUGGUCCUAACGAAAUGGUGAUGGUCAAGGAAGUUACAUCUUCAAACAAAAGGCACCUCCUUAUCACUAAUAGCCAUGAUGACUCUGCUGACAAAGGAACGAAAUUAUUGGUGCAUCCCUCUAUACAAGAAAUUUACUCUGGUGAUUGGUUUUCUCACAAGUAUUCCGAAUUAAAGGAUUGGUCACUAAAAUUUUCUCAAGAUGAUGGUACGAAAGUUCACUCCUUGAAAUUCCUUAUCAUAAUAAGGAGCCAAGGACAAUUGGCAGGCGAAUCCUAGAUGAGACUAAGGGUGCAAACGAGGCAAGUCGAAUCGAGUUUUGAAGUUAUUGAGUCGAGUUACACUUAUUUAUAUGCGAGCUCGAGUUCGAGGUCGAAAAAUAGAGCUCGAACUCGGCUCGAUGUAGGAAAAGGAAAACUCGAGAUCGACUCGCUUAUGGCUCGCGAGUUUAGCUCGAAUUCUGGCUCGCGAGCAGCUCGAGUUUUGCUAGAUUUUCUGGCUCGCAUGAAGCUCGAAGUCAGCUCGAUUCUAGCUCGUUAGGAGCUCCAGUUCGAACUCGAAAACAGCUCGAUUUUCUGGAAAUUUAUGCAAGAAAACAGAAUUUUUGUCCGCAUAUUUUUGAUAAAAUUUGAGCAUGAUAACAAUAAGUUUUCACAUAUUCUUGAUCUUGAGGCCUACAAAUUAUGCACUAAUACAAUCAUAAAUGUCCAAAUGUCCACUAAUACAAAUUAUCCAAAUGUCCACAAAUGUCCACUAAUACAAAUUAUCCAAAUGUCCACAAGAAGUCUGAAGAAUACCAGCUUGUUGUCCACAAAAACCAAGGCAUGACAUGAAGCGAGAAUUUCCUGACUGCGUCCUGGAACUUUACUCAUUUCUGUCUCUAAUUCCUCAUGAUCAGUUAGUCCACCAACAUUGAACAAUAUGGAUCAGGAAUGGGGAAAAAUCACUUUCUAACACUCAAGAUCACAUACAACUCAUAUCCAACAAAUAUCCUGAAGUUUCAUGAGUAUAAUCACAUUAAAAGAGAAAAGGAUACUGACAAGCAUGCUAAUCAAACUCAAGCAGAAAAGGUACUUUCUCCUUGCCGUCUCCGACAUCCCAGCCAGCAAAUGGCUGGGGUUCGUGACAGCUGUUUGGGUCCAAUCCAUCUCCGGCAACAACUAUACCUUCUCCAAUUACUCCGACGCCCUCAAAUCACUCAUGGCCCUCACUCAGCUCCAACUCAACAACCUCUCCGUCGCCAAUUGAUGUCAUUAAAGCAGAAAAUCGGCCUGAUGGCCUCCACCAGCUGCCAUCCCUAAUCCAAGAAGGUCGAGUGUAGUAUGCUUAGGACCAAAUACAGAUGGAGUUCCCAACAUCAGUUCCUUCAAGCUAGACCCACCAUCACACGGCAGCCCUAGUCCUAGGCCUACUACCAAUGAUGCACUAUCAGACUCAAUUGCCCUCCCACUCUUCGCCCGGAAAGACAGUGGUGAAAAGAGGUAAGGAGGUGGCGGCAAAGAGCGACGGGUUAGCCAAAGUUAGAAGAUCCUCUUUUUCUAGAUUUGCAAGUUUCCUACUCUAGAGACAAAAAUGUCCUUGAUAUUUGGUCGUGCAUCUUACAAGAUAAUGCUUUCCGUCAAUUUUAACCGUUGGAUUUGACGGAAGGGCCAUGAAUAUGCUAUUUUAUUAGAUCGAGAGCCAAAAUUUUACCGUUAAUUGUUGGAGGGUUAAAACUUUAUCUGGAAAAGAGUUGGAGGGCCAUUGGAACUCUUUUUCCAAAAAAAAAAAGUCACUUUUGUCAUUUGUCCGAGAACAGUUCAGGGGCCAUCUCGACAGUAUAUAUUUUUCUUACAUGCCAAGACAAUUAAUGAAAAUUGACCAAUAACACACGCACACACACGCGCACGCACACACACACACACUCUCUCUCUCUCGGUUGCUGCCAAGUCUUUCCACUGAAAAGGAAAAUUCAUAUUGUUUACAUAGAUAAAUUACCUCCAGUCCGUGGAAUGUCUUGAUGUUAGGUGAGUUCCAAUAUUUUGGUAUCAUCUAAUGUUCAUUUGUGAAAGAUUGAGAAAUGAUAAAGAGCAAAACACCAAUUUAUUCCAUAAAUUAUUUUGCUAAAAUCAAAAUAGUCCAUAAAUUUUCUUUUGGCCAAAUUUUUGUCAUGAACUUUCAGAAACGGUUGCUUCCUGCAACCGUUGGUGAGGGAUUUCAUCCGGAUUGCUUGUGCAGUUGAGUAACUAUACAGAAAUUCUUUUUGGGAUGCUGAGUAUCUUAGGGUGGGUACAAUGAUCGCUUAGAUCAGUAGAGAUGAUUGAUGAUGUAGUAGGGGAAGAUUCCCUUUAUAAAGCUGAUUUUCUCAUGAUUAAUAAGAAUAUAAAUGUUACCAAAUUUUCUUUUCAAAUGUGUAACGAAAAUAUUGGCCAUGAUCAGCAAGACCUCCUUAAUUAUAAAAGUUUCUUGAAUGUCAUCAUCCAAUUUGUUUAAGCGAGGAUUUUUAAAUGCUAUCUUUAAGCAAAUUGAUUUUUGUAUUAUAGAUACUUACUACUAUUACUUCAUACCUAGCUACAAACCUCAUGUAUGUUUUAAUCCAGAACAAAUCAGGGCCAUGGGCCACCUUGCACAUAGCGAGAGUGGAAAAAUAAAACUACACAAUUGCUUUUUUGAAGCCAGUGACUCAACUGAUUUUGCGCUCGGCAAUUCAUCCGAUUUUCAUUAAAAGGGCCCUAAGAGGCCAUUGGCGUUUUGGGCCUGUGAAAAUUUGGAUGAUUUGGUGUGUCCAAUGCAUGUGUAAGCACAAAUUUUGUUGUCUAAAAUAAAAGACAAGAAAACUUACAUAAAUAUCAAAUUUAUUAAAUUAAAUAACAAGAGGGUUACAAUAUUUGAAAAUUUUUGAAUCAAAGAAAUUAAUCUCCUAAUUUUUAUCUUCAAAAGGCUUUAAUCGGAAGGCCAAAAAGGCUUGUUCUCCGAUCAAGAGGGUGUUUUCUAUGAUUUCUAUGUAAAAAACGGCUGCUUUGAUGAUGACGUUAAUAUUUGAAUCUUUAAAUCUUCAACGCCGAUGGAAGGAGGAUUUAUUUAACUUAAUUUGGAUUUGGAUUUGAAUUUGAGGGAUAAAGCUCUCGACAGAAUUUGACAAAGUUACUUUGAAAUUUAGGAAUUUUAAUGUAUUUUUGCCUUGAGGGAAGACCUUUAUUUAGAGUCAACUUAUGCAAGCUAUGUCUUCAAGAGAAUCCUUCAAAACCAUCUUGCGUUUGGGUAACUUGUACCUUAAGAAACCCAUUUAACUUGGAGUUAAAUAGUGGUCCGACCCAAAUAGUCAAUUGUGAAUUAACAAAUCAAUUAAAUCACUUUAAUUUAAAUGGGCAUCAUAUUUUUUAUUUGAUUAAAUAGCUCAUAUAACAUUGGCUCAAUUUGUCAAUCCAAAACAUAAUGAACUUCUAUAAUUUAAUUCAAUUUAACUAAGAUCAAUUUAAUUUACUUAAUCUUGACUAAAAAUAAAUUAAAUAAAUUUUCGUUGUCUAUGUCCCCACUUCAAAACUUGGCGAGGCAUUGCAUGUUAAUUGCUGGAGGCAAGACUUGAAGUAUUAAUUUUACUGCUGACCUAAAGUCAAACUAAAUUAAAGACUUCAAGCGUUCGGCAUACGGGUGAUCCACUUUUUUUUUUUUUUUUUUUUUUUCCUUUUUCUUUGGGAAGAGAAUGGUCCACAUCAAUUGUAGAAUUGCACCUCAAAGUCCAAUUGAAUAGGCAACGGUCACGGGUCUUCACUUUCACCUACUACUUGAAUAAAGCCUUGAAGCUCUUGAAUUUUCCAACUCUUAAUUUAGUCGUCAAUGGAAGUGCAGCCCCACAAUAUUAGACCGCAACUUUGACCCGUAGAAUUAGAAACCCCCGUUUGAUUAUGCGAUGUGGGCUCCUGCGCAGAAACUCCCAUAUGCUGAAAUUUGGAGUUUGCUCGUACGUUUCUGACCACCAAAUCUUGUUUUGGCACUUGGCAAUAUGGAAUUUGCUGAGUUUCAACGCUUCCUAAACGGAACUUUAAUGUAUUUCCAAAACCAAUGUUUGCAACUUCUGAAUAAGAAUAUGCCAAAUUUUAAGAGCUUCCCAAAUUGACUUCCAGCCAUUGAAAUUAUUCUUGGGAACCAAAUUCAAAUGAUUUCCAAAAAGUUAAACGAUAAUCACUGAAUUUAGUAUCUGUCCAAAACUUAAAACUUCUUAAUAUGAUUCAUCUAAGCACCUUUAUAUAUAUAUAUAUAUAUAUAUAUAUAUAUAUAUAUAUAGGUACAGAAGACAUGUCUUUGUCUUGAAACUGUGACAAACAGGACAUUUAUGACAAGGGCGUGUGAAGACUACCACGCUAUUUGAGGGAAAAAAAACCUGUUUGACACGUAUAUCUUGAAGGUAAUCAUCUUUAUUGUCUUUUGACAACUUCAUGUUGGUCGAGUAUCAGAUAUUCACCAAAUUUUGUUGAAAUCUGUCAAAACUUGAUUUGUUUCUAAUUUGGAGAAAAAAAAAGAUUUUUUUCUUCGUUUCUGCAAUUUUCCAGGUCACUCUUUCCUCUCAACAUGUUACGAUUCAGAAAUUGAGACAAAUCUUGUACAUAGGAAUCUUUUUUAACAGCUGAUGGUUGGAAUUUAGCAGACACCUUGAAGUCAAAGAAGGCAACUAGCAUUCCAAUAGCAUUAUUUGGUUGCAUGCCAUAUCCAAGAUUUUCACUAGUAAGCCACCAUUUUCUUGCUUUUGAUUGUUAUUCUUUCUCUGUUGCACAAUUUUAUUUUCGCACAAUCCAUUUUUUUUCUUUGAAUUUUCUCUUUUGCAAAACAGAGACCACCAAGGAAAGACAGAAAGAUUUUUUGUUUUUGUUUUUGUUUUUGUUUUUGUUUUUGUUUUUUUUUUUUAUGGUUGCACCUUGUGUUGGCACCCCUUAUUUGAAGCAAGUUGAUGUUCCAGUUGUGUUGGGGAUUUUAGGGCCAUAGCUCUUAGAACUCAAAAUACUAAUGUAAUUUCCGCACUCCAUGACAUUUACUUCUUGUCAAUGCCAAACUCUCCUCUUUUUUUUUGUGAUAUGAAAGGAAGAUCUCUCGUUGCAACAUAUAUGGUGGACACUCAAUUUGAAAGAAGGUGCAACCACCAACUUGCACGAGAGCCAUAUCAUGGUUUGAGGAGUAUAAUGAAAAUGAUGCAACUGCAAACUCUUAUGAGAGCCAUAUCAUGGUUGAGAAGUACAAUGAAGAUAGUGCAAUCAAAAAUUUGAAAAAGGUGCAAUCGCAAACUCCCAUGAGAGCCUAUCAUGGAUUGAGGAGUACAACGAAGAAGGUGCCACAAAAUGUCGAAAAAUGUGCAAUCGCAAACUUGCACGAGAGCCUAUCAUGGUUUGAGGAGUACAAUGAAGAAAGUGCAACUACCCACUUCAAUGAGAGCUUACCAAAACUCGAGAAGCCCUUUCAUUUAACUUCACAUUGACUAUUUAUUACUUCUCUCACUGUCUUCGAUCACACCAUUGUAAUCAAAUUUUUUUCUCUUGCUUUUAUUGCAAGUUGGUCCUAACGAAAUGGUGAUGGUCAAGGAAGUUACAUCUUCAAACAAAAGGUACCUCCUUAUCACUAAUAGCCAUGAUGACUCUGCUGACAAAGGAAUGAAAUUAUUGGUGCAUCCCUCUAUACAAGAAACUUACUCUGGUGAUUGGUUUUCUCACAAAUAUUCCGAAUUAAAGGAUUGGUCACUAAAAUUUUCUCAAGAUGAUGGUACAAAAGUUCACUCCUUGAAAUUCCUUAUCAUAAUAAGGAGCCAAGGACAAUUGGCAGGCGAAUCAUAGAUGAAGACACACACUGGGGUGCUUCCUUGAGAUUUAGUGAUGAAUUUGGUUAUAUCGAGAAUUAUUAGGAGCGGUUGGAAGAUAUUUUUGGAAAAAACAAACAAGUGUUUCGUGAAAAUUACUUGUUCGAUGUCUUAUAUGCUUCGCUUCUCAUAUAUAACAAAAAUUCUCAUGUGUUUAGAGCAUUUUGCGAGACAUGGUGCCUAAACACUAAUACCUUGCAUAUGUCAAUUGGAGAAUUAUCUCUCUCACUUUGGGAUCUGUGUAAAUUAGAAGGACUUCCAAUCAUCGGAUACAUCUAUGAAGAGGCGAUCCCAUGUGUAGAGGAACUAACUGGAGUUAAUGAAAAGAAGUUGAUGCAUAUUCCGCAAAAUUGUGAGUAUUUGUUCGCGGCUCUGCACUACCUUCAACAUGGAGAAUACUACAAUUAUGGAGUUUCUGCUAGCCAAUAGAUUAACUUUUGGUUUAAAGGCAACGUGAGGUAUUCAAAACCAAAACAGAGAAGGAUAAAGAGAGCAUCUAGUGCUUAAGCAACCCAAAAUCCAGAUGGAAAGAUUGGACAACCACGUAAUUUUUAAUUCAAGACAAUGGCAUAUAUGAUACCAUUGGAGACAAGUCUCACUUACGAGAAGAGACUUAUCUUGUAGCAUUUAUAUCUUGUUGACUCUACGUUUUUACUCUACCAGAUGAGGACGUCUAUUAUAUUAGACUAUCUACCUUCAAAAUGGCUAGCAUGAUGGCUGUCGGAUAUAAAACUUGCCUUGCUGUUCCUGUCUUGCUGAGUAUCUAUCACGGAUUCAAUAAAAUUUCAAAUUCAUCUACUCCAAGGUGUGCGCGUGCAUUUUUUUCAAUGCACUACGUGUAUGCUUAACUGGCGAGUUAUUUCUCUACCCAUUAUUCAACUCCGAAUAUCAUGCCUGGACCAACAAUUAUCAAUUAUUCUGGAAAGGGUGUGCACAAUAUUUUGAUGAAAAUAGUGCUUGCGACCUCAUUCAUCAAGGAGACAAAGUAACUUGGGGGACAACUUCUCUUGUGAAGAAUUAAAAUGAAUUUUUUGUUGAUGAUGGCAAGUUAGCGAACCCAGAACUGAUUUAUUUCGUAAGUGCUUGCUCAAAUUAUUUAGUCUUACAUGCUGAAGGAGAUUUUCUUGUUGAGCCAUACAGGUUUGCAAGGCAAUUCGAAUUUUAUCAAAACACCCCACAAGAACUGGGAGCAGAUGUUCAUUCUACAAAUUAUGACUUGAGUCAAAUACUUUGACACAUUGCUAUUCAUAAUAAGACAGAGUCGAAGGUAUUUUUUUCUAGUUACCCCUUGAAUGCUAACAAGCAUAUAUCUCCAGAUUUUCAAACAUGAUGUUUUGAUUAAGAGUGUCCAACCAAAUUUGAAACAGAAGAAAUCGAAAGGAAAGAAACUUGCAAAUUUGAAUAAUCCUGUCAAGGUUGGCAGUAAUCUUGAGGCGAAACAGAAAAUCACCAAGACUGUGAGGAUUGAGGAGAAAGCAUUGCAGAGCUCCAGCAACUCGUGAAAUUCUAAUUUUCAAUGAAGAAUUUUCGAAUGGUAAUUCAUUUUGUCUUCCUUCAAUAAUUGUAAAAGCCACCAAUCAUGAGUCUCGCAAUUCCAAUGAAAAGAAGAGGAGCAACUCUUUUGAUGAGAAGGAUGAGCAAUCUACUAGUACAGACUAGCACUAGAAGCAUAAGAAAUUCAAGGUAAUGACUUUCUCUUUGGAUGAUAUUGUUUUAGACCCUAAAGAAAUGUUUAAGGACAUUCUGGACAAAUAUGUGCUUGGUAUAAGUCAUGCCAAUAUUAUAAGAACAUUCUCUUGCCUUCUUUAGUUUGGCAUUUGAAAUUUACUUAUCAAUUUCAUAUUCAUGAUAUGUCUCAUAACAUUUUCCAUGUAGUUGAAUGAUCAAAACUUGAUUUUUAUUAAUGAUGGGAAAUCAAGCUAAGAAUUCGUUGAAGGACCCACUAUAUUUUAACUUUUAACAAAACAAGUGGUCAAUUCUACUCAAUAAAAGGGCAUCAUUGAAAAUUUCAAAAAGGCAGUGCAUGAUGAAAAUUCAGUUCAACAAAUCAUGCUACAGAAGAAAGAACAUGUGACUUCACCGGAGAAAAAAAAGUUCAAAAUUUUUGAUCCACAACCGUAGCCAAGGGCACCUCAAGUGUCUGAAUUUUGCCCCCAAACUAUGAUCUUAACAUGUCAUCGAGAUUACAUUCAAAUGCUCUGAAAUAAUUUGAAGGUGCUGAUAUCCGAAACAAUCCUGGAACGCAUUUCUGCUCUUAAGAUGAAAGCAAAUGAAAUCAUGGAGGAAAUGCAAAGUUUCAAUGCUAUGAAUAUUUCAAACUUGUAAGGCCUUUUAAAGCCUUUCUUUACAAAACCAAUUCGUUCUGUCGUAAUAAAGUCUUCUUUCUCAAAUAAAAUUUCAAUUGAAUCAUAUAAUGAGUUGUUUUCUAUAGCUACCCAACAUCUUAGAGAUGCUCAGAGUAAGGAGAAAUAAUAACUUAAAAAGUUCUCAACGUACAUGUUAAAAUUUAAAGAGAUUGACCAUGAGAAAAUAGAGCUAAGGAAAUGACUUGAAUCUAUGGGUACUCAUAGGAUGGAAAUACUUUCACUGCUACGAAAGAAACAAGACGAGCUUACCUAAAUGCAAGGCAAGAUGAUCAACUUAUGAAAUGAAAUUCAAAAGAUUGAAGAUUCCCUAUCUUUACUUGUUGAGGAGAGCCAAACAUUGAACAAAAUGCAAGCACUACUUGAAAGCAACUGCAAAAAACUGUCAUCAUUUGAACUUUAGAAUUAGUUACAAUCUUUUACUUUUUUCAAAUUUUAUUUAUUGUCACUUGCCUAUAUUAUAUAGCCACAGGCAUAAUUAAUUUUUUAUUUCACCAUGAAUCAUGAUUUUUUUUAUUUCAUGAUACUCUUGUGGAUAUUUCUUACUUUCCUUUGUUGCUUUCAUUAACCACCAUUUUAGACUAUCGAUUGCAAAAUAAACAAUUCAACAUUUGCAUAAUUUUAAUCACAUUUGAAGAGGUAAUUGUCUACAUAAUUUGAUAAUUUGAACAAUAUACUUUCAGGUGUAUGUUGCAAAGUAAUUUGAAUUGCCCUAAAGAGAAAAACUUUUUAUCUUUUAUUGCAUGACAUCUUUAUGGGGUUGUAACUGAAUUUCGAAGUUACCAUCUAAACUGUUUGCAUAUCCCAAAAGGGAAUAAAUUCACGUGUAGUUCCUACCAUCCACAGUUUAAUUUCUUGCAGGUCAGGAGUAUCUAUUUGCUUAUCACUUUAAACUUGGUGGAGUGUUUUAGUAGUUUAACCAUAUACUACACUAUUGGUGAUUGCCGUCCACAGUUUUAACUCAUAUGGACCAAGAGCAACAUGCAGUUUAGACUCAUGUGUCAUGAAACAACAUGCAGUUUAGGGUCAUGCGUCAUGUUGUCCUUUAUUUUUUUUAUGGCGUGUAUAAUCUUAAGAAAUUUUCAUUUAUGGGUCAACAUUUACACCAUUUUGUCAACUACCUUGUACGCGUUAUUUGUAUAAACAUUUCGGAUAAUAUAUGGUCCAUCCUAUUCGGAGACAAAUUUAUCUUUAGCAUGAUGAGUCAUAACUAUUGAUUUUCGAACGGCGAACACUAUGUCACCAAUUUGAAAGGAAUGAUGAUGAUAGCUUUAGAAAGGUAAGCCUGGUAGCAUUCAAGAUUUUGUUGAGUUUCCAAUUCCUUUUCAUCUAAAGUUUCUAAUUCUUUAAGAAGCAAGCAAAUAUUUUCUUUCUCCAUGAGCCCUUAUUGGAUGGCAAUUCUCAGAGAAAGAAUUUGUUGUUCAAGAAGCAAGACAACUUCUACACCAUAAACUAAGGCAUCAGGGGUGGCUUGCAUUGGAAUUCGAUAUGUGGUGCGAUAAACGCAGAGAGUUUCACCUAUCAUUUCAUGCCAAUCCUUCUUUGAUCUGGCCAUCACUUUUUUCAACAAGUUGCAUAGAGUUUUAUUGAAUGCCUAAACAAUACUGUUGGCAGGGACAUUAUACAUAAAGGACUUGCGAUGUUUGAAUUUAAAUUUCUCACACAACCUAUCCAUUAAACAGUUGAAGAAGGGUUUCCAUUAUCAGUGAUAAUGUGUUAGAGAAUUUCAUAACGAUAAAUAAUAUUUACACGAAUGAAAUUCACCAUAUCUUCUUUUCUCACUUGAGUGGUAUAGUUUCAUCCCAUUUAGAGAAGUAGUUGGUUGUAACCAAUAUAUAUAGAUGUUGUCCGAACGACUUAGGCAAUGGUCCAACAACAUUAAGGUCCCAGGCAUCAAAAGGCUAAGAAGUAAUAGUCAAAUGUAAUAGUUCGGGUAAUUGAUGAAUGUAAUUUGCAUAGAAUUGACAAGUUUGACACCUUUGAGCGUAUUCCAUACAAUCUUUGACCAUAGUAAGGCAAUAAUAGCCCAUCAUUUUAAUCCAAAAAUGCAACUUGGGACCGAAUUGGUGAGUUUGACAUAUUUCAAAAUGUGCCUCUUGCAUAGCUUGAUAUUCAUUAUCUUCAUUCAGACAGCGCAAGAAUACACUUUCAAAUGAUUUUUGAUAUAGCGUAUCUUUGUAUAAGAUGAAACGGGGGCACGACAAUAGAUAUCAAAUCUUUUAUGUUGCUCCUUAGGUACCUUUUGAUACUUGAUAUAAUUGAUAACAGGUUGUCUCCAAUCUUCUUUAUCAACUUCAUAAGUUGAGACGACAUAAGCAUCACCUUCCUCAAUAUUUUCAUUAUCAAAUAAUGGUGAAACUAUCCACUUUUGAUACACACGAACUUGUAUUUCAUAAUUUGACAUAGUCAGAGAAGAAGCAAGCAUAGCUAAUGCAUGAGUUUGCUUAUUUUCUCUUUUAGGGACAUGUUCAAUACUUGUACCUUCAAGUUACCUUAUAAGUUGCGUUGCAUUCUUGUGAUAUGGAAUUAAUUUAAAUUUUUUAACAUCAUAAUUUCCCAAGGGUUGACUAACGACUAAUUGUGAGUUGCCAUAGAUUUGAAACUCAAAUUAUUUCAUGUCAAUAGUUAUUUCAAGUCCGAAUAUGAGGGUUUGAUACUUAACGACAUUAUUUGAACAACGUUGAUUUAGAAUAAAGGAGUAUGGCAAAACUUCUUCAUCAGAUGUUGUAAAUACAAUUUUGACUCCAACUCCAUGACGAUGAGUAGCAGAUUUCAAUAAGGAGUACAUUUUUAUUUGGUAGAUCAUCACUUAACUCCCAUUCAACAAGUAUCGGGUGAUCAAUAAGAAAAUCUACUAGUACUUAACCCUUCACGGCCUUUUGGAAUACAUAAAUAAUUUUAAAUUAUUGUAACUAGGUACCAUUUAGCUAGACAGUUGGAUAGUGUUGGUCUACUUAUCACGUAUUUUAUGAAGUUUGCCUUGAAGAUGAGUCUCACACUGUGUGCUUGAAAGUAGUGUUUUAACUUCUAUAUUAUAAAAAUAAGAGUUAAACACAACUUUUCAAUCGGUGAGUAGUUUAAUUUAUUAGAGAUCAUCAUAAAUAAUAAAGGGCAGUUUCUUUCACUUCAUUAUUUUCUUGUGCAACCAAUACCUCCACUAAACGUUCUUGGGUAACAAUGUAAAGAAUUAAUGGCUUUCUAUAAAUAGGUUCAAUCAAGACAGAUGCCUUCAUGAGAUAAGAUUUAAUGCUAUUGAAUGUAUUGCUGUACGCUUCAUUCCAUUGGAAUGGUACACCUUUCUUCAUAAGGUGAUUAAAUGGUUGACACCUUUCAAUUAAAUUUGAGAUAAACCUCCACAGAUAGGUUAAUCGCUCUUGAAGGCUUUUUAUUUCUGAAUAUUGCGAGAUUCAGGCAUUCUCAAUAUAGCAUCAAUGUUGACUCGAUCAAUUUUAAUACCUCGAUGACAGACCACAAAAUCAAGAAACUUUCCUGAUGUAACUCUAAAUGCACAUUUGAGAGGAUUCAAUUUGAGUUGAUAUAUUUUCAACCGAUCAAAAUUUUGUUUCAAAUCCUCCAAGUGAUUAUUUCUUUUUUUUUUUAUUUAACAACCAAAUCGUCCAUAUAACAUUUAAUAUUUUUAUGAAGCAUGUCAUCAAAAAUAUUUUACAUUAAUCUUUGAUAUGUAGUUUUGAUAUUUUCAAACUAAAGGGUAUUAUGUUAUAACAAUAAAUACCCUUAGGAGUAUGAAAUCUAGUGAGUUAUUUAUCCUCAGGUGUUAUUCGAAUUUGAUUAUAGUUAGAAAAGCUAUCCAUAAACGACAAACCCUCAGACCCAAUAAUUGCAUUAAUCAUGAGUUUGGUGAUGGGUAGAGAAAAAUCAUCUUUGGAACAAGCACUGUUAAGAUCCCUAAAAUUUACGUAGAUGUGAAUUUGCCUGUUCUUCUUUCGUACAGACAUGAUAUUUGAAAUUCAUGUGAAAGACUUAAAUUCAUGAAUAAAUCCAUCAUCAGUGAAUUUAUUGAUUUCAACUUCGAUCAAAUAGACCAAAUCGGGUCUAAAUCACCAUUGUACUUACAUUACAGGUCGAACUCCCUUUUUAAUAGGUAAAUGGUGGACUGCUACUUUUGAAUUUAGACCUAACAUUUCUUUAUAAGUUCAUGUAAAAAUAUCUUGAUACUCUUGCAAGAACUCAACAUAUGUCUUCUCUUCAUCAGAAUUCAAUAAAGCACUUACCUAUAUAGGAUAUGGGUCCUGUGAAGUGCCAAAAUUGAUUUUUUAAGUCAUCUACAGUGGCCUUAACGCCUUGUUCAAAUUCAGGUGAAGCAUCUUCAACAUCUUCUUCUUCUCCAAGGGAAUUAUUAUCAAAUAUGGUUAUAUGGUUGUAUGAAACAAUACUUUCUUCAUCAUCUUCCUUUGAUCUUGUUUCUACAAUAGUAUGCUCUCUAACCUUUAGUUCAGUCCCAUAAAUUAUUAUAAGAUUUGUACAUCUCCUCAUUCUUGAGAGAAUAAUGUUACCAAACUUAUAAAUGUUAUGGGGACAAUCAAAAGAUUCUUCAAAUUCUUUCAGUGAUUUUGUCAUUCUCCAUUUAUUCUUAUGAGAAUUUUGAGACUUUUAUUUUCUUUGUGGUCCUAGUCUUUUGAAGACGAAUACUCACAGAGCCUUAUCCCUAUUUUUAUGAAAAACGUGUGACUUAUUGACUAUUUUAGAAGAUUCAUCUCUUAUAGCAAUAAAUUGACUACCAGCUCUAUUGAUUUUGAUGCGAAUUGGUACAGGUGAAAAAUAGUAAAGAUCAGAUUUAGAAUUCUUAACAGCAUAUCCUUUCCCUUUCAACAUCUUUUGAGUAAGGUUUAACCCAUAAGUCACAUCGCUAGUGGCUUGAGGAGGUUUCAAUACCAGAGAUUUCUUGAAAUCAUACCCAAUUUUGGUAAGAAGUUUAUAAGCAAUAUAAUCAAAAGCUUCAUUAAUUCUUGACGUCAGUAGCAUAUCUUGCUUGAUGUCAAACUCUUUAUUAAGAUGAUCAAACCCUUUGAUUAAAGGCGAUGGUAUAUUCGUAGCAUCAAGUUUAGCCACAGGAAGAGUUAAUCCUUUCAGAGUUUUGUGUGGAAUUGAAGAUGGUUGUCCUUGUCCCAAUCUUGACUUGGGAGGGUAUCCGAAGACAACUGAUUUAUUUUUUAACAAUGAGGCAUCAAUUUUUUUAUGAACUACCUCUUUUGAUUUUGGAAUCACCACUUUCUUCGUUUUGCACUUGAUGAUUCGAGAUCUUGGAUUUUAACCAUAGAUGGAGAUUGUUUAAACUCAUUCUUUAUGUUAUACUGAUUUAUUUUUUAACAAUGAGGCAUCAAUUUCUUUCUGAACUACCUCUUUUGAUUUUGGAAUCACCACUUUCUUCCUUUUGCACUUGAUGAUUCGAGAUCUUGGAUUUUAACCACAGAUGGAGAUUGUUUAAACUCAUUCUUUAUGUUAUAUUUUUGGAUAUAAAAUUUAGCAUUAGCGAUAUGCAUUUCUACUUCAGUGUAAAGAUUAUAAUCAGUUUUCACACUUUUUACCACUCCAUUUCGGUAAUACUUGAAAUAUUGGUGAAGAGUUGAAAGCACAACCCCAUUUUCAUGAAUCCAGGGUCUUCCCAGUAGCAUAUUAUUUAUUGUUUUAGUAUCUAUUACAUACAGUUGUGCUUUAGACAAUAUAUCAUCGAUAACUAUCUCUAAAUUUAACGAUCCAAUAGCUCUUUGCCCUCCUUGAUUAAGGUCUUGUAUUAUUAGUCAGCUUAUUGGAAAGUUUAUCAAUGGAGAUGCCAAAUUCCUUUAGAGUUUUUAAGACAAGGCUAUUGACAGCAGAACCUCUCUCUAUCAAAAUUUUAUUCACAUUUUAUUUUUUAGCAUAAACAGUUACAAACAAAGGACGGUUAUGUGAUGUUGACCCAAAAAACAAGUUGAUAGGGUGUUAAUUGUUAGUAAUUUUAUUGCUAUUUUUCCCCUUUGUCCUUGCCAAAUAUUAUUUUAAUUGUUAACAUAUACUUAUUUUUGGUAUUUGGACCAAUCUACAGGAAGUGGAACUGACAAAUGCUAAAAAGGAGAUUUUAUUGAGAAAAAUCCUUCACAUGCUAGAGCCUCCAGCGGAUAUACAAGUUGGGCCCACAUGGUGUUACAAAUUCGGUUGCUGAUGGGGAGCUCUUAUUAUUGGGAGUUGACUUGUACGUGUAGGAGUCCUCCUACCAAGAGGAAACAAGAAAAAAGGAAUUCGGCAGAGGCCCAUCUUUUGUACUUAGCUUUCUCAAUUCGGUAGGGACCAUGGACUAGAGGUUUUCAUUAGUGAUUGGACUUUAAAAGGGAAGAAACGUAUAGAGGCUUGGGGAUUAUUAUGAUUAGCGUAGCUUUAGUUUUAGUGGUUAGCUAGCGUUUCCUUUUCAUGCGCACGAGGUGCUCGACAAUAUUUUUCAACGGGAAAAAAAAACAUCUUUUACUCUUGCUUUCUAGUGAAAAACUUGAUGCCUUUGCAAUCAAUUAAUUUGCGUGGAGAUUUAAUUAUGCGGCGUGGCUAAGCCUUUUAUCUAGUCAAGGAUCAACUCGACGGCGCAGUCCCAAAUAUCUGUGAGAUCUAAUUAGUUUUCACGCGUUUCUUAAUUUGUUAAUAUUUGCAUGUUGCCUAUUUGAAUUUCCACGGGAUUAUUUUGUUAAUUGGAUAUCAAGAGCCCGAUGUUCAAUGUGACUUAUUAAUUUCCUGCCAAAUUAGUCAAUUAAAUCCGUAAUUGUUUGAUUGAUUAAUAUUAGUAGCAACUGACAUGUUUACACACUAGAAGAACGUGCAAUCUAAUUUAAAUAACCCUCGUAGCGUGUUAUUGAUUGGGAUUAGAUUUUUCUAGUUAUUAAUGCAAUUGGGAAAUUAAUUCAUACAGUUGUACCUAGGAGUAUUUUCUGGUUAGGAGUAAUCAUUGGUCGUACCUUGGUUAUCAAUAAAUUAAGGAAAAAUUGGUCGUUAGAAUUCGUCGGCGACUAUAACUAGCCUAUUAAUAAAUUAAGUGAACCUCCCUUGCAUCAAUGAUCGGGUAAGUGGACUGUGUCUGAGUAGUUGUAUUCUUAACUAAAAUUUAUCUAUUCUUGAUUUAAUUCCUGCCUAUAUUCGUGCUAAUUAAUUAUUUAUUUUUAGUGAAUUGCUUAAUUAUUUUUAGUUUUACUCCAAUAAAAUUCCUCUUUACCAAUUGGAAUCUCAAAAAGACAAAUAUUCUCAGUCCCUGAAGAGACGACCCUACUUGCCAUUGUCUACUAUUUAGUAAGUUUUGUCAACUAAUUAAUUUUGGUAUAUCGGAUUAAGCAAAUUUUUCGGGAACAGGGUGAAUUAAGUAACCUAUUGCACAUCUAGAGUCCCGGCUCUAAUAUCUAGGAUUCAUUAUUGACUGCUUUUAGUGGUAUUUAGGUUAUUAUUAUUAUUAUUGCACAGUCUCGACACCUGUCAAUUUUUGGCGUCGCUGCCAGGGACUGGCGUUAAUUAUUUGUUUUUUUAAGUUCAAUUUUGUUCUAAUUUUCUGGUAUUUUUUCUAAUUUAUGCAUCAUUCUUCUCGUAUAAGUGAAUUAAUUUUCGACCCUGAAGUAGAGAAGAUCGCGCGUAGAACGAGAAAAGAAACCAGACAAUUCAGAGAAGAGCACUCAAGUACUACAUCUCAGAGACUUGAGCCGGAAGUUGAACCGGCAAAUUCGUUUGGUAACACUUCGAGUGACUCGGAUCAAGAGAAACUCACCAUGGCAAAUGCACAAACAUUAAGGGAGUUGGCUGCUUCUAAUUUAAAUCAACAGCCUUUAUGCAUUGCUUUCCCAAGUUUGAAUGAUGACACCCUCUUUGAACUAAAAUCUGGUCUAAUUCAUCUCUUGCCAUCUUUUCAUGGUUUACCAGGUAAGGAGCCCUACAAACAUUUACAAGAGUUUGAUGUUGUUUGCAACAGUAUGAAACCCCCGGGAAUCACAGAAAAGCUGAUAAAAAUGAGGGCCCUCCCCUUCUCUUUGAAGGAUUCAGCGAAAGAUUGGCUAUACUACCUACCACCAGGUAGUAUCACCACGUGGGACCAGUUGAAAAAAAAAUUCUUAGACAAAUAUUUUCCUGCGUCUCGGGCCGCCAGCUUAAGGAAAGAGAUAUGCGGUAUCAAACAACACCCAGGCGAGUCUCUCUAUGAGUACUGCGAGAGGUUUAAGAAGCUGUGUAUCAAAUGCCCUCAGCAUCAGAUAAGUGAGCAACUGCUCAUCCAAUAUUUCUAUGAGGGACUACUCUUCACGGACUGGAGCAUAAUCGAUGUUGCCAGUAAAGGGGCGCUAGUGAACAAGACCCCUCGAAAAUCUUGGGAGUUGAUUGAGGGGAUGGCUGAAAAUUCACAGCAGUUUGGUGGGCAGUGGCGAUGGCGAAGGCUCGCGGGGGUGGAAGAGCCGUUGGCGCGACUGGGGCCGCGCGGCUGCUAGAAUCUAGUUGCAUCAGUCUCUGUGGUCCUUGGGAUCUUUGAUUCGGCUGUUCCAUAGCUUGUCGAUCCUUUGUUGCAUCCCUGUAGGCAUUGUAAUUCCUGUUGAUUGAGUUGUUAUCUAGUUUUUGAGGGCACCUCUAGUAGUUCCUUUAUUUGGGAGUUAUUUGGGGUUGAGUUGGGAGUUAUUGGCCAAUUGAUUCCUAUUUUGCUUUCGUCCUGUUUCUGGUACUGUAUGGUUUUGAUUGGGGGGUGUCUCAGUGGUUUGGGUUGCCUGUUUGAAUUGGUUCUUACCUGUGUGUGCACCAGUGGUACUGGUUGUGUUGGGAAUCCGUGACUGAUUUGUUCUUGUCCAAUUGAAGCCAUUUUGAGCAAUUUUGGGGUGAACACAUUUUGUCAUUAAUUGUUGAUUGUUGGGGGACGUUUUUGGUAACACUUGAGUUGAUAGGGUGUUAAUUAUUGGUUAUUUUAUUAUUAAUCUCCCUUUUUAUUCUUGCCAAAUAUUGCUUAAUUGUUAAUAUUUACUCAUAUUUGGUAUCUGGACUUAAUUUCAGGAAUGAAGUAGAAAACUACCAAAAAGGAGGGAUUUUAUGGAGAAUAUGGAAACUUCUAAGGGCUUCAAUUCUUGGGCCCUUGAAUUGGUGGGGACCACAAGCUAGUGAAAGGCAUUUAGUCAUUUGAGCUCUUCAAAAGAAGCUACGUAUAUUUUAUUUUAUUUUAUUUUAUUUAUUUUAUUUAUCUCUUAUUUUUUUUUAUAUAGUUUAUGGCUUCUAACACUUCGUAUUUUGGUGAUAUACUGGAUUUUGUUUCCGGGAAAGGCAAUGUGACUAGUUUUUUUGCUAAGUCUGCAUAUGCAGAGGCACUAAACUCUAUUAGAGAAAGAAUGGCUGCUGCAACCUGUAAAAUUUGUUAUACCAGGGAUCAUUCAACCGGUAUGUGCCCCGAAUAUCAAGAUAAUCUGAGUGUCCCAUUCGAUAAUUAUGGAGAAUUUUCACCCUGGUCUCAAACGUGGUACGACCCUAAUCCAAACGGGUAUGAUCAAGGAUGGUGGGAUAACUCCAAUUAUAAUUAUACAACGGGACCAAUGAAUUUUCAGCAGUAUGAGUCUCAAGAAUCGUCAUCUAUGUCAGGUAUGUCUCUUGAAGAAAUAGUUGAACCAAUAGCUACUAACACAUACCAAUUCCAACAGGAGACACAAAUGAGGAAUGAGAUGAUGAAGGAUGCAAUGAGUUAUCUGGCAGAUCAACUAUGUCUAUUGACAUCCAGAAUAAAUCGAUGGGCUUCUCAAAUGGAAGAACUGCCCUCGAAAACCAUUGUUGACCUAGAAGAAAAUGAGAGUGCAAUUUGCUUGACUAGUGAUGAGGAGAUGCAAGAGUGUCAAAAUGAAAAAUCUACAGAUACAGUUGAAAAAGAAGCCGAAAAGGAAGAAAUGGAACCCCAACCGCAACCCAUUCAAGUGAAAGAAUCCAGUGAAGAAUCAUCAAAUGUGGUGACACCACCUCCAUUCCCUAACCCGCAUUUUUUCUAACUCUUACUCUAUGAUUUCUGUUAAUGAGAUUGAUUUUGUUAUACCGGAAGUUUUUGAGUCUCAUGGCAGAAAUAAGUUGAGAGUGGAGAUGGCGAAAUAUCUUGAACCGUUGAAUGCUCUUGAUGGAGGAAUGGAUGAAGAAUUGCGAUCAAUGCUUGAUUAUGUGGCGCCAUCAACUAGUCCAUGGAAGCCCGUGGUUCGUGUGCUCAAAGAUUACUCCAUCUAUGAGGGUUACCAGGAUCAUAUUGAAGAUGAAGCAUUGAAGCGAGCUACAAGAUUUUAUCCUCCAUGAACAAGACAUAACAAUGUCUAGCCAAAGACAUUAAAGAAAGGCGUUUUUUGGGAGGCAACCCAAAUAUUGAUUUUAUUAUUUUUAGUUGUUCAAUUCUUUCGUUCUGUUGUUUCUCAUUUGGAUAGUAGUUGGUCUUGAUAUUUUUCUCCACUGUGAUCAGGAAGUGAAAUCUUGGCGUGCCCACGCGGUGUUUAGGUCUCCUGAGAUCAGAGGACGAACACCAAUCUUGGCGUGCCCACGCGGUGUUUGGGUCUCCUGAGGUCAGUGAAUGUUUUGUAAUCUUGGCAUGCCCACGCGGUGUUUGACGACCCAAAACAUGAAAAAAAAAAAGUUUCAAAAUUUCACAUUGAGAAAAUUCAAAAAUUCAAAAGGCAUUUUUCUUUUUCUUCAAAAAUUCAAAUUUUGGAAUUUCAAAUUCAGGAAAAAAUUUGAAAAAAAAACAUUGAGAAAAAAAAACCCAAAAAGAAAAAAUUAAGAUUCAAAAAAAAAAAAAAACUAUUUUUUUUUCUCUCUUUUUCUUUUUCUCUUUUCUUUUUCUUUUUUCUUUUCUUCUUUUUUCUUUCUUUCUUCCUUCACCACCGCAGCAGCUACCCCACGCGACUCUCCUCCGCCUACCCCAGCGCACAGCCCAGGCCACGCGCUCCCUCCUUCCUGCAGCCCGUCGACGAAGCCCACCAGCCACCACCAGCAGGCCGCGGCUCCUUCCCCCUUGCGCGGCCACAGCUCGCGAACCACCUCUCCCACAGCGCGCGGCCUUCUCCCUUAUCUUUUGGCCGCGCGUCAUUGGCUCGCCCAAGGGCAGCCGCCGCCGCCGUUCCUCACAGUCAAGCAAUCGCAGGCCAAAGCCCACAACCCCAGCCGGCGCCGCCCGCAGCUCCUCGUGCGUGACAGCCGUGCGACGCCGCGCCUCCCUCAGCAACAGCUCCAAGCUCCAGCUCACUCGCAGACAGCCGCGCGAUUCUCAGCCAUUCACCUCGCGCGACCCCGAGCGCACAAUUCCGCGUGCCGCCAUCGAAGACCGCCGCGCCUCUCCCUCAGCCCGCCAUUGCGCCCCACCACUGUCCCGCUGUCUACGGUUGGGCACAAGGGAGGUACUUUUAAAAGAAAUUUUUAAUUUAAAUACGAGAAUGUCAAUUUCUAAAUUCUGGGGCUGUUUAGUGAUUGUUUGGAUUUCUUGGUGGAUUUGGUUGGCCGUCUGAUUAAAUUCUUCCUUGUGUGAUAACCAGUGGUACUGGUUGGGGUCUUUCGACCAUAGUUGUUGCUUAUAUUUGGUCAGAUGUCUGCUUGUUUGAAAGUUCACGUUCUUGUGAUUGAGUUGUUGCUCAAAUUCUGAUCUGCUGUUGCUAGAACUUUUGGUUGGUUGAGUUGUGCAAUUGACUGUCCAAUUGGAGACAGUUAUUGAGAUCUUAGGUGGGAUGGUGUCCAAUUGCUAAAAUUUGUUGCUUUGUUUCGUCACUCGCACUGCUCCUAGUUUGUUCGAGUGAAAUUGGUUGGAUGUUCUUUGCCCGUGGAGUGUAACUGUUACAUUGUUUGGGGCAGUUUUUUGGUAUUGAUUGAAUUGUUGGGCGUAAAUUGCUCAGGACUUUACAUUGCUAAUUUGGUGGGCCAUUUAUUGUGCAUUACCCUUUUGAAUUGGGAGAUACCUGUGCUUAUUGGGUUUUGACUACUUGAGAUUUCUGUUGCAUCUGGGGGAUAAAAUUUGAUGACUUUUGUGCCAGUUUAUUUGUUUGGAAAUUGUUGGGGGUAAUUUGGGAGUUACUUGUCAAUUGGGUCCCGUGUUACCCUCUACCAUUCAGUGGUACUGAUUGGUGUGUUUGGCUUUAUCACAUGUCUUGGGUUGGCCAUUUGAUUUCAAUUUUCCUUGUGCAUGCACCAGUGGUACUGGUGAGGGUAGUUUACAUAAUAUUUGUUACUCCUGUGUUAUUGGUUGCCUAAUCGACUACUGGGCAUUUGUGGUUGAAUUGUUUCUGUCCAACUUCUGAACUGUUGUUGCUGGAGUGCCAUUUUCUUGGGUCAAUUGCUGAUUUUAGCAAGUUGAAGUGGGUAAUUGACUGUCCAAUUGGAGACAGUUGUUACGAUAUUGGGUCCGAUUGUGUCUAAUUGCUGGAAGUUGUUGAUUUAUUAAGACACUAGCACAGUUCCUAGUUUGUUCGAGUUGCUGUUCUGUUGCAUUAUUGGGAGCUGUGCUCUAGUAUUGUGGCUACUUUCCUGCGUUUAUUUGUUGAAUUGGGAUAUGAAUGUGCCUAUUGCUCAUUUUGUUGCAUCUAAUUGACUUGCUUGGGGUAAUCUGCCCAUCAAUUUUAAUUACUCAAGUCUUUGGAGCAGUUGUUGCACAUUUGGACUACUUUGUUUCUAUAUCUGACUGAAUUGGGACCACAAGUGCUUAUCAAUUGCAUUUGCUAUAAGUAUUGGGGUAUUCGUAUAGAUUUUAGGAGCCUGCAUUGUGCAUUUUAUUGUUUGGGUUGCCUACUAGUUACCAUGGUGAAGCCACGAUCCUCCCCCAGGGGCCGAUGACUGGCUCCAACUUUCGAUGACAGUUGAGAGACUGGAGACUCGAGUGACCCACAUUGACAUCGACUUGCAUAACAUGGCGCAGAAUUUGGCAGCACUCCGCCCGACCCGCCCCUGUUUUGACAAUUUCAAGGAAGUACCGUUGCCCUUCUCUUUACUUUUGUUGUUGGUUUAUCACAUUGAGGGCAAUGUGUGAUUUAGGUGUGGGGGGAUCAGUUUGGGUGCUAGUAUUUUUAGUUUUUAGGUUCUAGAGGUUUUUCUUUUGUUUUAGUUUGAUAUUUAGUUCUUUUUUUUUCGUCUAUUUUAUUUUAUUAUUAUUAUUUUUUUUUCUUUCUCCUUUUUUCUAGUGGUCAGUCUUCAUAUGAAUACCAAGUUUGAUACUGGAUUGUUGUCUCUAAUUCUGCUAUUGCCAAGUCUUAUUAAUAAAAGGGUAUUAAGUUAAUGUGCUUGAGUUCAGGAAUAUCUCUUUGGUGAAUAUCGGUAAUUGCUUAACUUUUUCAAUUUUUGGUUAACUUUUCUAGGCAUAGGGAAUGAUUGUUGGCAUUUUUCAUGUGAAUUGGUUCAGUUAUUAAUUUUAGUUCUCCAUGUCUGGAAAUUUGAGGCUGGCUGCUGUUAAUCUUAUGUUGCUUUUAGAUAUCGUGUUAUAUGGUUGUAAAUAAGAGUUGACUGUACUCCGCUAGUGGUUACUACUGAGUAACCGGGGAUUUUCACCUAAAGUGUCGAUUCUCGCGUCAAAAGGUAGUAGUUGCUAUGAAUGCGUGGUCCUGUAGCGAUCGGAGCUGAGUAACCGGGCUCCUCCAUCUGAUAAAUGUUGGAGUUCGCGUCAAAAGGCUCUAAAUGGCUAGAGACUAAGUCUUUUGCUAUUCCCAAAAAAAAAAAGAAAAAAAACAAGUAAAGUUUGUGUUAGUAUUUAAAAAAAAAAAAAAGAAAGUCAGCUUGCCUAUUUGUGAUCUUAAUGUCGAGAUUUUGGUUAAUAGAUGGACCAUUUGCUGAUAAAUGUGAGCAACCAUUCCUUUUCCUUAGAUUAGUUUGCUUCAAAUUGAAGGAGUUGGUGGUUUAGAGGCUAAUCGGGGUGAUUUUUCUUGGAUGUUGACCUGUGAUGCUUGAUAUUUAUUUUUCUUGGACAUCUUGGCAAUACGGUAGUUGGAGUAACAGCCAUGGUCAACUUUUGGUGUUCAAUUGUUGUUCCCAUACUUGAGGGCAAACAUGAUUUAGGUGUGGGGGGAAUUGAUAGGGUGUUAAUUAUUGGUUAUUUUAUUAUUAAUCUCCCUUUUUAUCCUUGUCAAAUAUUGCUUAAUUGUUAAUAUUUACUCAUAUUUGGUAUCUGGAUUUAAUUUCAGGAAUGAAGUAGAAAACUACCAAAAAGGAGGGAUUUUAUGGAGAAUAUGGAAACUUCUAAGGGCUUCAAUUCUUGGGCCCUUGAAUUGGUGGGGACCACAAGCUAGUGAAAGGCAUUUAGUCAUUUGGGCUCUUCAAAAGAAGUUACAUAGAGAGACUUGGAGAAAGAAGUACUUUGGAGGCUUUGUCCAUAUGUGUGGGGACCACCUAGAUAGCUUUUAGUCAUCUUUCUUUUGUUGCUUUAAAAGGGGACAACGUACAGAAGCAAAGGACAUCUAGGGCUUUAGUUUUAGUUUUUUUAGUUUAGUUCUAGUUUCCUUUCUUUGGACUGGCCUCUGACACACGCCAGGUGUUCGACAAUAUUCCCCAACGGGAAGAUUUUCUCAUGAGGCGUGGUUAAGCUUUUCUAGUCAAGGGGACAACUGACGAUUUGGUUCGACAAUUACUGUGAGAUCGAAUCUGUUUUAAUUAUUUUCUUCAUUUAUUGGUAUUUAUAUGUUCCUUGAUUUUAAUUGCUAUGGCCUUGUGUAUGAUUGAUUAGUGCGCAAUAAUUAAUUAUUCAUAUAGGCUAUUUUUGCUAAAUAGGGGUAAUUGAAUCCGUAAUUGUUCGUUAUCUCUACCUCAGUAGCAACUGGCGUAAAUGGGUUUAUGUCAGGGGAGCAUAUGAUCUAAUUUAAACAAACCCUCGUAGCGUGUUUGUUGGUUAGGAUUGGGCCUUUCUAAUUAUUAAUGCAAUCUAGAAAUUAAAUCCUACGGUCGUACCUAGGGUUGUUUUUGGGUUAGAGAAAUAGCUAACGGUCGUACCUUAGCUAUCGAGAAAUUAAGGAAGGGUUGGUUGUUUAUCGCGUGCAUGACAACUAUAACUAAUCUAUUGCUAAAUGUUGGAAUUAUUUCUGCAUCAAUGAUCAGUGCAUGAACCAUUUCUGAUGUGUACCCUUGGCUAGAGUUUCCCCAAUCAUUUCUUUUAAUUAAUUAUUUUCUGCAGUUAAUUUAUUUAGUUAGCAUUUAAUCCAAAACCCCCCAUACUUUGGACUCUAGAAGAAACGAAUUAUCCCCAAUCCCUGUGGAUUCGACCCUACUCACCGCUAUAUACAAAAUCUGUAUCUUUAUUGAGUAGGUAUUUAUUAUUGUACAGGUUCGGCACCUGUCAAUUUUGGGGUGAACACAUUUUGUCAUUAAUUGUUGAUUGUUGGGGGACGUUUUUGGUAACACUUGAGUCUAUUUUGCUGAGUUCUGUUGAUAGAGCAGUUAUUUGGCACAUUUUACAGUGUUAUUUUGUCCUAAUUUUGGCUAUUCAUGGUGUUAAGAAUUGGAAUAUCACUCAUAUUUGAUGUUUGUGUGAAUUGUAGGUGGUCGGCAUUAAAAAUGACCUCUCAAGGCAAAUUUCUAGAAGACUCUUCGUCUCAGAGCAUGGCCACGCCAGAGAAGGUCGAUGUUACCGAAAAGCCGGACCCCGGUCCACGUGAACCGCAAGGAGCACGGGAUUAAAGCUCUAAAAGGCUAGCUUUUGUUUCAAUCAAUUGGGUCAGACAUGACUUGGCUCCUAGAGGCUUCAAUUAAAAAAGAAAAGAAAGGGCCAGACGUCGAGGGAAUGAGAAUGAGGAAACUAGGUCUACAUGGACCAGCUACACGGGAUAAAAACUCCAAUGAAGAGAAGAGCUCUGCUCCGCGUGGAUUUCCCCUGCGGCACUAUAUAAGACAACAAAAAAGGUGAUGCAGCGGAGAAUAUAGAUUAGCUUUGAUUUUCUUUUCGAGAGGGGUCAGGCGAUUGCAGACUUUUGUAGCUUUUCGGUUGUGACACUUGGACUCCUUGGCUUUUGUUUUGACUCUGCACAAUUUACGUUAGUUUUUGUUCGUACACUUGCGGCACCAAAGCAAAGACGAAGGCAGUGCCUUCUCUGUUGUUACUGCAAUUAAUUCCCCUUCCCCAAUUUUCGGCGAAUAAUUGAAUGAAUUCAAUUAAAUCACGCGGGAUUGACACGAUAAGGAGCGGCUAAUUUUCUCCUCUACCCAAAGGUUGACGCGAAGGCGCGGUCCAUAAUAUCUGUGAGAUCUAAUCGAAUUUUCAUUAUUUCUUUCAAUUUAUUGCUAUUCGUACGUUUCCUGAAUUAAUUGUUCAUGAGUAUUUUACUAAUUGAAUAUCAACGGCCGGGUAUUUGAUUUAAUUUAAUAGUCUACUGCCACGUUAAUUAAAUAGAAUCCGUAAUUGUUCAUUUAGUUAACACCUCGUGGCAACCACCAUAAUUGGCUUUAUGAUGGGAAAACGCAAGAUCUAAUUUAAAUAAACCCUCUUAGCGUAUUUAUUGGUUAGGGUUGGAUUCUUCUAGCUUUAAUGCAAUUGGGUAAUUAAAUUCUCACGGUCGUACCUAGGGUUGUUAUCUGGUUAGAGAAGCAGUCAAUGGUUGUACCUUGACUAUCGAAAAAGUAAGGAAGAACUGGUUGUCAGAGCUUAUUGAUAACUAUAACCAACCUAGUGAUGAAUGGAUGAAAUACCUUUGCAUUGAUGAGCAUCUGUCUUGAGUCCAUUGAAGUGCCGUUGGUUGAGUAAUUUCUGCGUCUUUUUGUUGAAUUGGAAGGCUAUUGUGACACUUCCAUUGCACUUUCGGAAUGCAUUGUUUCUGUAUUUGACUAAAUUCAGGCCACCAGUGCUUCUUGAUUGCAAUCACUGUGCUGUUGGGGUAUUUGUACAGCUUUGAGUACCUGAAUUGUGUUUGUGUUGGUUGGAGUACCAUUUAUAGAGAAUGGUGAGACCUAAAUCCUCCUCUAGGUCUAGGACACCUAGAACUUCUCAGCCUCCUCCCACCCUAGGGGCUAACGAUUGGCUCCAACUCCGAAUGCAAGUUAAGAGACCGGAGAUUCGAGUGACCCACAUUGACAUCAACUUGCAUACCAUGGUGCAGAAUUUGGCAACAAUUAUGCACCAUGCGGGUCUUGUUCCUCAGUUUCCGUCUGACCCACCCCUGUUUUGACGACUUCAGGGAAGCACCGGUGCUCUUUUGCUUACUUUUGCUAUUAAAUUAUCACAUUGAGGGCAAUGUGUGAUUUAGGUAUGGGGGGGAUCAGUUGUGGUACUAGUAUUUCCAGUUUUUGAUUUUUAAGUGUUUUUCCUUUGUUUUUAGUUUGAUAUUUUUCUCUUUUUCGUUUAUUUCUUUUAUUCGUGAUCAGCUCUUAUUUGAAUACCAAGUUUUGAUGUUGGAUUGUUGCCUCUAAUUCUGCUCUUGCCAAGUUUUAAUAAUAAAAGGGUAUCAAGUUAAUAUGGUUGAAUUCAGGAACAUCUCUUUGGUGAAUAUCAAUAAUUGCUUAACUUUUCCAAGUUUUGGUUAACUUUUCUAGGCAUAGGGAAUGAUUGUUGGCAUUUUUCAUGUAAAUUGGUCCAAUUAUUAAUUUUAGUUCUCUAUGUUUGGAAAUUUGAGGCUGACUGCUGUUAUUUUUAGUUAUUGUGUUAUAUGAUUGUAAAUAAUAGAUAACUGUACUCCAUUAGUUGUUACUACUGAGUAACCGGGGAUUUUCACCUAAAGUGUCGAUUCUCAUGUCAAAAGGUAGCAGUUACUAUGAGUGCGUGGUCCCGUAGCGAUUGGAGCUAAGUAACCGGGCUCCUCCAUCUGUCAAAUGUUGGAGUUCGCAUCAAAACGCUCUAAGGGUUAUAAACUAAGUCUUUUGUUAUUCAAAAAAAAAAAAGAAAAAAAGAAGCAGAAGAAAACAAAAGAAGCAGAUUGUGUUAGUAUAUGAAAAAGUCAGCUUGCCGAUUUGUGAUCUUAAUAUCGAGAUUUUGGUUAAUAGUUGGACCGUUUGCUGAUAAAUAUGAGCAACCAUUCCUUUUUCUUAGAUUAGUUUGCUUUAAAUUGGAAGAGUUGGUGGUUGGGAAGCUAAUCGGGGUAAUUUUUCUUUGAUCUUGACCUGUGAUGCUUGAUAUAUGUUUUUCUGGAUAUCUUGGCAAUACGGUAGUUGGAGCAAUAGCCAUUGUCAAAUUUUGGUGUUCAAUUUCUGCUCUCAUGCUUGAGGGCAAGUAUGGUUUAGGUGUGGGGGGAAUUGAUAGGGUGUUAAUUGUUAAUAAUUUUAUUGCUAUUUUUCCCCUUUGUCCUUGCCAAAUAUUAUUUUAAUUGUUAACAUAUACUUAUUUUUGGUAUUUGGACCAAUCUACAGGAAGUGGAACUGACAAAUGCUAAAAAGGAGAUUUUAUUGAGAAAAAUCCUUCACAUGCUAGAGCCUCCAGCGGAUAUACAAGUUGGGCCCACAUGGUGUUACAAAUUCGGUUGCUGAUGGGGAGCUCUUAUUAUUGGGAGUUGACUUGUACGUGUAGGAGUCCUCCUACCAAGAGGAAACAAGAAAAAAGGAAUUCGGCAGAGGCCCAUCUUUUGUACUUAGCUUUCUCAAUUCGGUAGGGACCAUGGACUAGAGGUUUUCAUUAGUGAUUGGACUUUAAAAGGGAAGAAACGUAUAGAGGCUUGGGGAUUAUUAUGAUUAGCGUAGCUUUAGUUUUAGUGGUUAGCUAGCGUUUCCUUUUCAUGCGCACGAGGUGCUCGACAAUAUUUUUCAACGGGAAAAAAAAACAUCUUUUACUCUUGCUUUCUAGUGAAAAACUUGAUGCCUUUGCAAUCAAUUAAUUUGCGUGGAGAUUUAAUUAUGCGGCGUGGCUAAGCCUUUCAUCUAGUUAAGGAUCAACUCGAUGGUACAGUCCCAAAUAUCUGUGAGAUCUAAUUAGUUUUCACGCGUUUCUUAAUUUGUUAAUAUUUGCACGUUGCCUAUUUGAAUUUUCAAGGGAUUAUUUUGUUAAUUGGAUGUCAAGGGCCCGAUGUUCAAUAUGGCUUAUUAAUCUCCUUCCAAAUUAGUCAAUUAAAUCCGUAAUUGUUUGAUUGAUUAAUAUUAGUGGCAACUGGCGUGUUUAUACACUAGGGGAACGUGCAAUCUAAUUUAAAUAACGCUCGUAGCGUGUUAUUGAUCGGGGUUAGGUUUUUCUAGUUAUUAAUGCAAUUGAAAAAUUAAUUCCUACGAUCGUACCUAGGAGUAUUUUCUGAUUAGGAAUAAUCAAUGGUCGUACCUUGAUUAUCAAUAAAUAAAAGAAAAAUUGGUCGUUAGAAUUCGUCGGCGACUAUAACUAGCCUAUUAAUAAAUUAAGUGAACCUCCCUUGCAUCAAUGAUCGAGUAAGUGGACUGUGUCUGAGUAGUUGUAUCAUUGGCUAGAAUUUAUCUAUUCUUGAUUUAAUUCCUGCCUAUAUUCGUGCAAGUUAAUUAUUUAUUUUUAGUGAAUUUUUUAAUUAUUUUUAGUUUUACUCCGAUAAAAUCCUCCUUUAUCAAUUGGAAUCUCAAAGAGACAAAUAUCCCCAGUCCUUGAGGAGAUGACUCUACUUGCCACUGUCUACUAUUUAGUAAGUUUUGUCAACUAAUUAAUUCUGAUAUAUCGGAUUAAGCAAACUUUUCGAGAAUAGGGUGAAUCAAGUAACCCAUUACACACCUAGAGUCCCUGCUCCAGUAUUUAGGAUUAAUUAUUGACUGUUUUUAGUGGUAUUUAUAUUUUUAUUAUUAUUAUUGCAUAGGCUCGACACCUGUCAAUUUUUGUGAUGUUGACCCAAACAACAAAGGACGGGUUAUGUGAUGUUGACCCAAAUAACAAGUCUUCACUAGUGAAUGUGAUAUUUGUGAUAUCCACCUCUUUAUUACCAGUGGGCACGUGAGUUAUCUCACAAGGAGAUUCGCGAGUAUCAUCCUUUGUUCUUCAAUAUCAUCAACUUGCGUUGUGUGACAUGAGACCAUAUCAAUAUCAAAGAAUCUUUUAGAUAUGAAUUCUUUUAAAAUGAUAGAAACUCGCGACUUUUGCUUGAAUACUUGAUUUUCUUGAAGAUUGUGAUUAUUAUUAUUUUUCUCUAUAUUCUUCUCUUUUCUCUUCCAGACCAUUCUACUUCUUGUUAAGGCCUUGUUUACCUUAUUAGAUGGACGAGAGUUUCAUCUUCAUCUUCGCGUGAUCAGAGUUCAUCCAUCAUCAUCUACGUCUGAUUGUAAUGACUUCUCAUCUUCAUAUUCAUAUUUUUGAAGAGCUGAAGGGGCGAUUUUUUGUUCAACUUCUAUAGGAUCAAAUGAUCCAAAUUGAAUGGUUGGCAAUAUAGGUAUCGUAAACUUUUCGACUUCCAUGGACUGUAGUGAAUCAACGGAGGUUUGAUUCAUACUUGCUUUGUUUUUUUCAAGAAAAUUUUUUUCUUGUCUUGCCAAAUCCAUCAUCUCAUCUUUAAAGACAAAGUAUUUUUGAAUGGGAUGUCCAACCAAGCAAUGAUACUUGAUUUGGAUCAUCCGUAUUACUAAUCUCGUCAAGUCAGUUCAUCUUGGAAGCAUGAUCAAGUUCAUGCUUAACAAAUUAUCAAAUAUACUAGGAACAUCAGAAUCAAGGAAAUUGUACUUCUUGUUUUGCAUCUCCUUGAGUGUUGGUUUUUUCUUUCCUUCGUCUUGAUGCAUACUGGUUUUCUUGUCUUCUCUUUUAGCAGUUCUGAGAAUAAUCUUGAAAGGUGUUAUACUUGCAGCUAUGGCCUCUUUCUCACUUUGAUUGGGGGCUUGCCUCCUUUCCUCACUUCUUGUUUCUCCUUAGCCUUGCGAGAAUCAGGAAUUGGCGGCUCUUGUCCAUCAAGGUUAAUUUCUAUCUUAUGAGUUUUUGGGGAUAAUUCAUCAAAUAUUUCUGGUUAUACCCCUUACAAGAUAUAUCUGAAUCCCCAAUGCAAGUCUUGAAUACACAUCUCAAUAGCGGAAGACUCGAAAAUUCGAUCCUUACAGUUUAGGCUUAGAUUUUUUCGAGCGAUUGAUAAAGUUAAUAACAUGUUCAUUCUUUCACUAGCACAUAUUUUAGAGUUCAAUUAUGCUGACAGUCCUUUUCGUGCUAUAGAAGCAAUUAAGGAAUUCCUACUCUAAUUGCUCCCAACUGUCAAUGCUGCUAGAUUCUAAAUCUGUGUACCAAUCAAACGUGUUACCCUUCAAUGAGUGAACAAAUUGCUUAACUAGCAAGUCACCAUUAGUGCCAGCAUUGUUACAAUUUUCGACAAAGUGCGCAAUAUGUUGUUUAGGGUUACCUUUGUCAUCAAAUUAUUGAAACUUUGAAAAUUGAAAUCCUACAAGCAUCUUCAAACAUUUACUCUUGUGGUGUAAGGUUUGAUAUAAUUGCUAUAUGACUUGGUAUUUCCACCAAUCUUGUCCUUGAUCGUACCUUUGAUAAACUCCUUUAAAUUAUCAACAUGAAUGGUACUAUCAGGAGAGAUUGAAAACUCCUUCAUUAUUCGUGACUUGGUAUCCUCUUUCUCUUUCUUCCUUGAUGAUGAGUUACCUUCAUAUUUUUUACCAUGGCCAUUAGUUUGGCUAUUUUGGCAUCUUGACUUUGCACGUGCCCUGCUAGCCCUUCGACAAUUUGGCAAGAUUUGAAAUUUGAUCUCUACGGUUGUGGUGUUAGUCAUCAUGAUGGGCAUUACCACAGAAGUAGCUAAAUUGCUUGAGCUAUCAGCAGAUUCAUCAUGGACUCCCUUCUUGUUGGGAAAAAUCUCAAAAUUUUUUCUUUCAACCACAGCAUUCGCCUUAACCCUAUCUACUAAUUUCUUAGCCUUGCUCCUUGUCAUAGGUGUAGUAUACUGCAUCUCCUGAGUUGUUGGGAUGCCAGCAACUGAGCCUUCAAGAGCAAAACUCAUCUUCUUGGACUCCAUUGAUUCUUGAAACAAGUAAGCUAUUCAAAGAAAAGAGAUGAAAAACAGAGAUGGUCCCACCAGACGUGUCAUAAAAUUUGUGAGCAUAAAUUUUGUUGCCUAAAAUAAAGACAAGAAAAUUUGCAUAAAUAUCAAAUUUAUUAAAUCAAAUAAUAAAUGGGUUAUAAUUUUUGAAAAUUCUUGAAUUAAAGAUAUUAAUCUUCUAAUUCUUCUCUUCAAAAACUUCAAUUGAAGGGUUGAAAAGACUUGUUUACCGAUCAAGAGGGUGUUUCCUACGAUUUUGACAUAGAAAACCGCUGAUUUGAUGAUGACGUUAAAUAGUUGAUGUUGGGUUUGGAUUUUAUUCCACCAAUCGUUCAUUUUGUUGGAUUUGAGUUUUAUACCACCAACUGUGGGAUAAAACCCAAUCCCAAUAAAAUGAACGGUUGGUGGGAUAAUACUCAAAUCCAAUAAAAUGAAUGAUUGGUGGGAUAAAAUCCAAACCCAACACUUGUAUCUUUAAAUCUUCAAUGUCGAUAGAAGGAGGAUUUAUUUUAACUUGAUUUGGAUUUGAAUUUAAGGGAAAAUGCUCUCGAGAGAAUUUGACAGAAUUUCUUCAAAAUUUAGAAAUUUCAAUGUGUUUUUGUACUAAGAGAAUACCUUUAUUUAUAGGCAAAAUAUGUAGAUUAUGUCUUCAAGAAAAUUCUCCAGAACCUUCUUGCGUUUGGGUAACUUGUACCUCAAGAAACUCAUUUAACUUAGGUUUAAAUAGUGGGCCUAUUCAAAUAAUCCAUUGUGAAUUAAUACAUCAAUUAAUCCACUUUAAUUUAAAUGGGUAACACAUUGAUUUGAUUUGAUUUAAUAGCCCAUAUAUCAUUGGUCUAUUUUGUCAAUCAAAACAUAAUAGACUGCUAUAAUUUAAUUUAAUGUAAUCAAGAUCAAUUUAAUUUAUUUAAUCUUGACUAAAUAAAUUUUCUUUGUCUACAGCAUGUACGUGUAAUUUUCCAAAUAAUGAUACUUUUCAAAGAGAGUUUUCAAAUAAUGAAAGUUCUAAAACAAGGCAUUCACCGAAUGCGUGAAUGUAUCUUUUUAAACAACGCAUUUAGUCAAUACGUUUUUAAGGAAAAAUGCCUAUACAAAUAAAAGAAUGAAUUCUAUAAAUGUGUCUUUUGAGGAAACAACACAUUUACUAAGUACGUUUUUUCACUCUUUGGGAAGAAGUUCAAAAAACACCACCAUUUGAAAGGUAAUUUUAGAAAAUCCCACUUUUUGAGAAUUUACUCAAGCUUGUACUUGACAAAAUGUGUUGGGAAAAUUGUGACGUCAGGUGAAUUGUAAAACUGUUGUGCCAUCGUAAUGUAUGUUUUGCACUAGAUUGAGUAAGAAUUAUAUCAAAAUAGUCGGCCACAAUAUAGGAAUGUGAAAACUUUGUGUUAAGUAAGUUGUAAUAUUUUUGUAUCAUCUAACGUAUAUUUGAAAACGAUUGAGAAUAUAAUAUAUGGAAACAACAGGUCACAAUGUUGAAAUGUCAAACCUCUUGUUUCAAACCAAAUACUUAUUAAACUCCUUCAUAUCGCUAACGAAUUUUGAUUCUGAAGUAAUAAUAGUUUUAUUUAAUUAUUUGCCUUUUUUGGAACAAUAUUAAAAUGUAGCCAUAAAUUUAAAUUCCAAAAUUGUUGAAUACUUGAGGAAUUCUAGAAAUGGCACUGAGAGUCAAAGUUCACCUUAUUCAAAAGUCACCAGCCAUCUCAGAGUGCAUGUUUCUAUUGAGUUUCAGGUUCAAUGUGUACCCACUUCCACUUUUGGCUGAUCAAUCAGGACUAAGGUUCCGUUUGAUAAAACUGAAUCUGAAUUCUGAAAUCUGAAUACUGAAACAAUUAAUUUGCUGAAUUUUAAGUUCUGAAAAGAAAUAUAUGAAUGUCUGAAUUUUAAUGUUAAAUCUAUUUCUACUGUUUGAUAAACAUUUAUAACUGAAUGCUUAAUAAGUUAAAUUUGACAAAUUUGCCCUUAAUCUUUUCAUCCAAAAAAGAAGUAGAACCUAUGAUUUAAUUAGGUAAAAAUGUUAGGUAUGAAAAUGACAAUAUUUAUUUUUAAAUCAAAUUAAUAUAAAAGAUGAAAUAUAUUAUAUGCGGAGUGGAGAAGAUGUAAAAAUCAUUCAAAAUGGAGAAAAAAGAAAUAGAAAAUCAUUAGAUAGAGAAUAUUAGAUUGUUUAAUUAGAUAAGAAUUUUGAACAUAAUUAACAAACAAUGGUAGAUUUGAUAGAUAAGAUAAGGUAAUUGAAGUAAUUCUAUUGAUUCUUAUCAGAAUUAAGUAUUCAGUUAGGAUUUUUGUGCUGAAAAAAAUACACACAAUUUCAGCACUACUUAACAAGUUCAGCAAAUAGAUUUUCAUUUAUCAAACAUUCAAAACAUCUAAAUGUCUAAAAAAAUUUAGAUUCAACACUUUUUUAUAUUAUUAAACAGACCCUAAGAGAAUAAAAUAACUUGCUUGCUGUUAGCGAUGGCAACGGGGCGGGGUUGGGGCGGGGGACCCCUCCCCCGUCCCCCGCCCCGUUGCCUAUUAGUUCCCCCUGUCCCCCGCCCCCCCCCCCGCUUCCCCCGCGGGGUUAAUAAAAUUUUAUUAUAAUUAAAUUUUAAUAAAUAAUCAAUUACUAAAAUAUCAACACAUCACCAAAUUAUUAUUCAUUGUAAUUUUACAAUUAAAACUCAUAAAAACAAUCAAACAAAAGUUAUUUGAAUACAAUCCAAUAUGAUGAAAUAAAUAUAACUAAAAUAGUUAAGUUUUCGCUUUUAGUACAAAUGCAAUCACUAAUUCAUUAUUGUGUUUGUGCUUUUCUUUUGAGAAAAAAGUGUUAUUCUAUUAAGUGUAAUUAGAAAUUUAGUAUAAAUGUAUUAGUAAAUUUAGUAUAACUAAUUAAUAAAUUUUAUUAGUAGACAUGUAUAAUUAUUCAUAUAAUUGAUAAUAUCAAUUAUAUUACAUAAACUACUAUACAUUAUAUAAUACAUCUAACUAAUAAUAUCAUUAUCAUAAGUUUAUAACUAAUUAACUUACAUAUUAUAUAUAAUUAUAUAUAUAUUUUUUUUAGGGUGGCGCGGCGGGGGAUGGGGCGGGGGUAUACUCCCCCGUCCCCCGCCCCGUUUCUAAGCGGGGGGAAAAAUUCCCCCCCCCGCCCCAACCCCCGCCCCGAGAGCCCCCCGUGGGCACCCGCCCCCAUUGCCAUCCCUACUUGCCGUUUUUAAAAAAGGAUUCAUUAUUUUUUCUUUGAGCAUUGGUAUCUCCACCCUCAAUGACACUAAUCUGGAUUCAAUAUGAGGAGUGUCCGUAGAGGCUGACUCUUACUCGAGAGUAAAGACUUGACCCAGAGCUUUUCAAGGCGUCAUCAUAUGUAGGAGUCAAACUUAUGAACUCUGUGCAUAGAUAAUUUAGCUCCAGUCUGUGGAAUGUCUUGAUGUUAGGUGAGUUGUAAUAUUUUGGUAUCAUCUAAUGAAAUUUUUAAAAGAUUGAGAAAUAAUAUAGAGCAAAACACCAAUUUAUUCCCUAAAUUAUUUUGCUAAAAUCAAAAUACUCCGUAAAUUUAUUUUGAGUCAGUUUAGUCCCCCAACUAUUUUUACAAAGCUGAAAUAGUCCUUAAACUUUAUUAUGAGCCAAUUUAGUCUCUCAACUAUUUUGUUUAAGUGAAAUAGUACCCCACCUUUAUUUAUUUGGCCAGUUUGGUCCUUGUUUGACUCAUCCACCCAAUUUAUCAACCUUGUGCACUAACAAUCAGGGGCAAAAUAAGAAAUUUAGUCAAUGCCCUUACUAAAAUGAUAGAAGAAUUAGAUAUCUGGCAAAAUUAAAAACAAAAUUGAAUCAUAUAGAGAACAAAAAAAUAUAGUGUUUCUUAUGGAGGAAAAAAAUGGAGCUGAUGCCUAAAAUCUCACAUGGAUCCAACUCAGUCCAUUGAAUGGAGAAAAGGGAAAAUAACACAACAAGAAUAUGUUAAAAGUUGGAAAAUGUGCUAUAAUUAUGAUUACUCCUUUAAGAAAUAAAGCUGAAAGAAGCUCAAUUUCUUUUUGUUUUCCAUAUUAUUCAAUUUCGUUGUCGAUUUUUCGAUAGAUGUAUGUUUUUUUUUUUGUUUUAAUAAGGGCUAUGAUUGGAUUUCCUAUUAUGCCAUUGGCUGUCGAUGCUACACUUGAUAAAUUAGAUGGAUCAUCCAAAUAAAGACAAAAUUGGCUAUGUAAACAUUAGUGAGGGACUAUUUCAGCUUAAGAAAAAUAGUUGAGGGACUAAAUUGGCUUAUAAUAAAAUUAGGGACUAUUUCAGCUUUGUAAAAAUAGUUGAGAGACUAAAUUGACUCAUAAAAUGUUUAGGGACUAUUUUGACAUUAAGGAAAUAGUUUUGGGACUAUAAACAUUAGGUCACAAUGUUGAAAUAUCAAAACCCAUGUUUUGGACCAAAACUCAUAGAACUUCUUCACGUCGCUAACGAAAUUUGAUUAUGAAGUAAUGCUAAUUUUAUUUAUUAUUUGUUUCCUUGCUGGUCUUCUGUCUUUUUGGUUAUUCCAAAAUUGUUGAAUAUUUAAACGAAUUCUAGAAAGGGCACUGAGAGUCAAAGUCUUAUUCAAACAGCCAGCUAUCUCAAAGUACAUAUUUUUUUAUUAUCAGGUUCAAUAUGUAUCUAUUGCAAUUUUUGAAUGACCAGCCAUGACUAAGAGAAUAAAAUAAUUCACUUGCUGUUUUUAGAUAUGAAUUCAUGACUGUCAGUAGUCUAUAAAUACACUUAUUGCUCACCACUCUUUGCACCGCAAAAUCUCUUCAAGAUCCAACAAACCCUCCUGUUCUUGGUCUUUGUCCAUUUGUGAAAAAACAAAUUAAAGCGUCAUGGCCCCUAUCACUUGUAGUGCUGAGAUGACCUCCCCAAUCCCUCCUGCAAGGUUGUUCAAGGCCGCCAUCCUUGAUGACCACCCUUAAUGCCACAGGCUAUUAAGAGUGUGGAAAUCCUUGAAGGAGAUGGUGGCGUUUGAACCAUUGAGUUGAGCACAUUUGGUGAAGGUUAGAUGUUAUAUUAAAUGUAGAACCCCAAAUUUAAGGAUCUAAUAAUAAUCAAUGCGUGCAGGGUUACAGAAUUGGAGGGAUAAAACAAAUACUCAAAAUAUACGUGGAAGAAAAGAAAAAUAAUAAAUUCAACUCACAAUAUUAUUGAAAUUUCAAACAAUGAAGAAAAUCAUACCACAAUGAAUUCAACUGGUUCUAAUAAUAAUCAAAGCAUACAAGGUUACAGAAUUAAAAGGAUAAAACAAACACUCAAAAUAUAUGUGGGAGAGAAGAAAAUAAUAAAUUCAACACACAAUAUUAUUGAAAUCUCAAACAAUGAAAAAAGUCACACCAUAAUAGAAAACCUUGCUAAUGCUUCUAGAUUCUUUCUCUUGAGAAACCAACCUAAAUAAUGUUCUAUUUAUAAUCUACCAAACUUGUUAGGAAAGAAACCACUUGCAUAAGAAAUUACCAAAUAAUACAGAAAUUCCUAAAUCACACAACUACUAAAAACAUAACUCAAAUAAAACUAAAAAAUAAAUAAAUAUUACUAGGCUUAGUUUAAUUUGUCAACAUUGCCUCCUUUAAACCAUACUAUCCAUUGAGAUAGGUUCAACACCAUCUCGAGCAAUAAUUUCUAUGCAAAUCUAUGUUGUAGUACACUUGACAUGAAACUCUAACUUGUUACCAGUUAUUAAUUUCAUUUUUACACGUAACAGUGGACACACUAUGUAUUGUGUAAACAACUUCUCAGCAAUUUCUUCUUGAUCAAAGAACUCACUUAUACAAACCCAUUCAUCACCAGAAUCACCAUAUUUACCACCAAUGUAAGUGCCUAAAAAUACAAAAUCAUAGAUUUCUUUCUCGCUAAAAUUAUCAUCACCAAAUAAUUCAAAAUAACCACUACUACAAUCAUCCAAAAUUUUCAUACUGUCAGUCAACUCUUUUGGAGUAAAAUAUUUUUCAACUCCGAUGACAUCCAUAUCUAUUAAAUCAAACAUUCUCCCAUCACUUUGAAGAGAGUCCGAACCAACGAAUUUUUCAACAACAAUUUCAUGUUCUCUUCUCUUAUCAAAUCAAAAUUUUUUUCUUCUUUUGUCAAAUUACCAUAUUAUUUUUUUCAACAAAUUCAUUACUUCUAAUUUCUCCAAACAAGGUACGCAAAUCAAAACUAUCAAUUGAUUCAAAAUUUUCGAUAUCACCCAUAUUAUCAACAAAUCUAUCAUUUUUAAAAUCCACAAACCAAUACCAAUAAAUAGACUUCGGUUUGAAAGCAUAAUUUCUCCCAAUCGUGUGCAAAACAUAGUAAAUAUCCUUCCAAAAUCUCUAAAGUAUUUUAAUUAGUACGACCAAUAAAGGUUUUAUAAACACUUUUUGCCAUUAUUUUACGCAUCACUUGAAAGAAUAAUUGUGCCUUUUUCUUAAAAACAUGUUUUGACAACUUACUUGCAUCAACCCAACAAAGAAUAUCAUCCAAAUUACAUUGUUUAACAUAUUUUUCCACUAUUAAAAUCCAACCAAAAUAUGUAUGUCCAUUUGUGCUUAUAGGAGUCAAUAUGAAAAAUUUUUCACCGUGAAUCAGAUCUUUAUAAUAUUCCAUUAUUUAACAAUUUGUAUACCUGGAUAAAUUUUUUUCCUCCAUCCUGUCAUGUUUUCUUGGCCUCCCUGGUUGACUAACCAAAUUAUUGUUGUAUGUAUACCCAUGCUCGUCAAACCUCAUUUGUGUACACUCGUAAGGAGUGGUUCUGAGCUUCUUGUGAAUGCUCAGUACCAAGAAGUAGAAGAGAGAAUGCAUAAGAGAGAAUUAACUUGGCUAUAGAAAUAGGAAACAAUUGAGGGAUUUUUUAAGAAAUUAAUUCUCCAGCUACCACUUUUGGAAAUUUUCUAUCAACAACUAGUUACCAAAACACUAGCACAUAAUAAGAAAUCAGGAUAAUUUCAGAAACCUCCCUUGAGGCUUUUAAUAACCUCAAGAAGCUCCCCUCAAUAUUUUAAAAUUACACGUACCUUCCCUAUUGGUGCAAAAGUACUCUACUACCCCUAAUAGGAUACUCAAAAGACUUUUUUUUAUGGGAAAAAUGAAGCUCAGAAAUCCAAGCAAAAUCAAAAAAAUCAAUUGAUUUUCUCUUUUAGCCUUUUACACUUUUGCCUUCUACCUUUGCUCACUUUCCCAUCCCAAUCUUCCUACACCCGCUUUCCCAAUCCCCUUUCCCCAACUUUUCUCCUCUACUUCAAGACCAAUUUUUGUCUAUCUAUCCUGGCUUGUGCUUUGUUCCAUUCCCUUCCCUUCUCCUUCUUUGAUUUCGCCUACAUCUCCCUUUCUCUUUGCAAAAGUGACUAGGCUCAUGUCUCUCUUUUUCCCCCCUAUUCUAAGUGUAGUGGGUUUGAUUAUUUUGCAUCUAUUUUAUUUGAUUUGGGUUGAUUAUGGGUGAUAGAACUUGGCGAUGUCAAAUAUCAAAAGUUUGAUAGAUGGAUAUUGGGCUUUAGACAAUGAUUUGCUGAAAAAAAUGGCUGCAAUGAGACAAAGAGGCAAGGGGAUUUGAGUGUGGGGUUGAUUGUUGAUAAAUUGUUGUUUUGGACAAAAUUUGAGGUUGAGUUUUAUUAAAUUUGAUAGCAAGUGGCGAGUUUUGUUCAGGUUGCGGGAAAUAAAUUAGAUUGUGGUUUCUUGGGCACCCACAGUUGUUGGAAUUGGUUUUGAUUCAAAUUAGGGUGGUUACUUGAUUUUCCUAAUAGUGUUGCUUAAAAGCACACGAUCAUCAAAAUUCCUUAUUUUUAUCUUUUGUUUUUUCUUGUAGAAAAGAUUUCACGACUUUCGUGAUAGUCUAAUUUGGAAGAAGGCAAUCAAGGGAUGCAAUCAACAUUUAGCAAAAGCUCUUGUUCUUUCCUUUGUAAUUUUUAGGGUAAAAAGGGUAGUUUAGGGUAUUUGAAGGAAAUGAUAGUCUAUUGGGUCUAUUUUCAAGCAUAAAUAGUGAACGUAAGGGAGGUUGGUGUAAUUUCUGAAACCUAAGGGAAAUUGUCUGAAAUUGUUCGAGACCUCAGAGGAGGUUUUCGAAAUUAUCCCUAAGAAAUCAAAUGCGAAACUUGAUUAGUACACGCACACACGACACCGCACCACGCCGCGCGUGUGUUGAGGAUUGGUGUCCGUAACCAACGACAAGCAGGUUUUCAAUUUUUUUUUCCUUUCCUGGAUUCUCCAGAGAUGGUGUCAGCUUCUAUUAUUGAUGAGCAGGAGGAAAUCCACAAUAUACAGUACACAUCACCCAUAUUCUUUUUAAUUGAACAAUGUAUGAAAUUAUGGUGAUUCGAAAUUAAAUUAUAUGUUUAUUGGGCACUGAAUCCAAAAUAAGAGUUGGAAAUGUAUUGUGACAACAAUUGUUAACAUAGGCCACAAAUGAUCAAAACAAAUAUUUAAGGUUUAAUAUGACAUUAUGGGUUCAGAAUAUAGUUACUUGUUAUGAAACAACUAAAAGUAUGGAUAUCCAUUUGUAUUUUCAAGAGGAUCAAUUCAUAAUUCAUUGCUCCCAAGAGGAUUAAUUCAUAAUACAUUGCUACAUUAUGUAAAGGAAUUGCAUUGGAUGAACGGUUUCAAUCCAUAAAAGCUAUUUAUGUAUUGGAUGAACCGUUUCAUAUGGCUAUUCAUGUUCUUGUAGUAAUGAGUGUUUAAUAGAAUUGAUGUACCUUUAAUUUUGUAGUACCUAUAUAUACAGGUACUUUGGCACCUCUUGGGUAUACUUUUUGAUUAGUUGGAAUAAUAAGAAAAUUAUUCUUCAUUUCUGUACUUCUUUCUCUAAUAUUUCAAUUCCUAUUAUAGUAGUUCAUUUUUUUUAGUUUUACAACACGUUAUUAGCAUGAGUCUCUACUUUUGAACAAAAAGGUGAAAACGGAGCCUCUACCUUAAAAAAAAGUGAAACACGAGAUUCUGCCAAAAUUUUGCCCGUAUUUUUCCGGCAACUUCUGUCCACUUAUUGAGAAAUGGAUGCCAAAUAUUUGGGAUUAAAUAAUGGUGAUGAUGAUAUUUGUCUCAUUGAUAGUGCUACUACGCACACUAUAUUGAAAAAUAAAAAAAAAAUUUCUUGUAUGAAAAUGGGAGAGACAAAUGUUAAUACCAUAACUGGUAGUGCAAAAUUGAUUGAACGCUCCGGAAUAGCCUCUCUAUUUCUUCAUGAAGGGACUAAAAUUGUCGUAAAUAAUGCACUACUGUCUCCCAAGUCUCGGAGAAAUUUAUUGAGUUUUAAAGAUAUCUGCGAAAAUGAAUACUAUAUAGGGAUAAUGACUGAGACAAAUGGAGAAUUUUUAUUAAUCACAAGUAUCAUUUCUGGGCAGAAAUGCGUAGUAGAAAAAUUACCUUCUUUUUCUUCUAGCUUAUAUUAUGCACAAAUUAGUGCAAUUGAAAUUUAUCACCUAGUAGACCAGAAGUCUACUCAUCCCAAUAAUUUUAUGAUUUGGCAUGAUCGUCUCGAAAAUACUGAAUCUAUAAUGAUGAGACGAAUAAUCAAGAAUUUACAUGGUCACUCAUUGAAAAAUUAAAAGAUAUUAAAAGCAAAUGAAUUCUCCUGUGUUGCUUGUUCCCACGGAAAAUUAAUUAUUAGACCAUCACCAGUUAAAGUUGGGACUGAAUUCCCUACAUUUCUAGAACGAAUUCAUAGUGAUAUAUGUGGACUCGUAGAUCCACCAUGUGGACCAUUUCGAUAUUUUAUGGUGCUAAUUGAUGCAUCAACUAGAUGGUCACAUGUAUUUUUAUUAUCUACUCGCAACUUGAUAUUUGCGAGAUUGCUUGCUCAAAUAAUUAAAUUGCGAGCACAAUUUUCAGACUAUCUAAUAAAGAAAAUUCAUUUAGAUAAUGCUGGUAAAUAUUCGUCACAUGCUUUUGACAAUUAUUGCAUAUCUAUUGGAAUAACUAUUGAACAUCUUGUAACUUAUGUUCACACACAAAAUGGUCUAGCCGAAUCAUUUAUUAAAUGGUUACAAUUAAUUGCUAGACCAUUGUUGAUGAGGUCUAAACUUCCUUCAUCUGCUUGGGAAUAUGCUAUAUUAUAUACAGCAAUACUUGUGAGAAUUAGACCGACAAGUUAUCAUACUUAUUUUCCUCUAUAAUUAACUUUUGGUUAUAAGUCAAAUAUUUCUCAUUUACGAAUAUUUGGUUGUUCGGUUUAUGUUCGAAUUGCACGGCCCCAAUGUCGUAAAUUGGGUCCACAAAGAAGAUUGGGGAUAUAUGUCGGAUAUAAAAUCACCUUUAAUUAUUAAGUAUAUGGAACCAUUGACAGGUGAUUUAUUUACUGCAAGAUUUGCAGAUUGUCAUUCUAAUGAAUCACAUUUUUCGACAUUAGGGGGAGAUAAAAAUCAAUCGAAAAAGAAAAUCACUUGAAAAAUAUCAUUCAAUUUUCUCGAUUCUCGUACCAAAGAAUGUAAACUAGAAGUUCAAAGGAUUAUACAUUUGCAAAAAAUUACAAAUCAACUACUGGACGUAUUUAAUGACUCCAGAAGAGUUAUUAAAUCACAUAUUUUUAUUGAAAAUACUCCGAUUAAAAUUAAUGUCCUUGAAGGACAAAUUACAAGUGUUAAUGAGUGUAAAGUGCGCCUGAAGCGUGGGAGACCUCUUGGUUCUAAAGAUAAAAAUUCUCGAAAGAAAAGAGAAAUUGAUGAAUCAACAAUUAGUGACAAAAUUCAACCUCCUGAAGAAGUCGCUCCUAAAGAGCCAAUUCUUGAAGAUAAUGAAAUUAUAGAAAAUUCAAUAAAUUUUGUCGCUUCAGGAAAAAGUUGGAACAAAAAAAAAUUAUUAAUAGUAUUUUUGCAUAUAAUGUAGCACUUGUUAUUAUGGUAGGUAAUGAAGAUCGUGAGCAUAGAUCGGUUGAUGAAUGUCGACGUAGAAAUGAUUGGCCAAAAUGGAAAGAUGCGAUUCAAUCUGAAUUGGACUUACUAGCUACAAGAAAAGUUUUUGGGCCUGUAGUCCAAACACCUGAAGGUGUAAAGUCAGUAGGAUAUAAAUGGGCAUUUGUGAGAAAAAGAAAUGAGAAAAAUGAAAUCGUGAGGUAUAAAGCAAGACUUGCAACCCAAGGAUUUUCACAAAGGCCUGGAUUUGAUUAUGAUUACACGUAUUCACCUGUAGUGGAUGCUAUCACAUUUAGAUAUCUUGUGAGUUUUGCAGGACAUGAAAAAUCAGAUAUGCAUCUAAUGGACGUCGUUACUGUAUAUUUAUAUGAAAAUUUUGAAAAUGAUAUUUAAACGAGAAUCCCUGAAGGAUUCAACAUGCCUGAAGCAUGCAAAUCAAAUUUUAAAGAUAUUUAUACUAUUAAAUUACAAAGGUAUUUGUAUGGGUUCAAACAAUCUGGACGUAUGUGGUACCGCCUCAAUGAAUGUUUAACUAAAGAAGGCUAUACCAAUAAUCUAAUACAUCCAUGUGUCUUUAUCAAGAAAAAUGGACUAAUUUUAUGAUAAUUGUUGUCUAUGUUGAUAAUCUUAAUCUGAUUGGAACUCUUGAAGAGAUUCAAAAUAGUGUUGAAUAUUUGAAGAAGAAGUUUGAAAUCAAAGAUUUUGGAAAAACAAAAUUCUACAUUGAUUUACAAAUUGAGUGAUAGGUUGCAAUUUUAUCAUUUAUUUUAUUAUUAAUUUUCCCUAUUACUUAACCCAAUGUGAAUUAAUUAUUAGAUUCUACUCACUUUUAGUAUUUUACAUAUAUUUCAGGGAGUAGAACGAAAAUACCAUAAUAAGUGCCGAUUUGACAGUUAUCAGGAAAGAGUUCAAGUAGCAGGCAUCCAGGGCAUUUUUGGAACAAGGAGAUACAAGUCCUUUUUGGUAAUUCGCAGAGCGCAGCAUUAAAAGGAGGAACGAAGGGCUGAAGUAGGGAGUCUUCUUCCCCCUGGGAGGAACCGCCGCACAGCAGAGGGCUGUCUGGUCCUCUUAGUUUUUCCGUUUCUUUAGUUUUAGCUUCGGAUUUUGACUUUUCUUCUCGUAGGAAUUUUGGGUAGCCUUGAGCUUAGCAACUUUUGUUGACCCUUUUUUGGCCUUUUAGCUAGUUUGUUCUUACGCAUGGAAGAUGGCUGAAUAGCUGAGGCUUGUUCUUUGUUUUUCUUUGACUUUUCCUUUUGGUUUGCUUCCUGCGGACGCCCAGACCGAAGGAAAACUAUGAAGUCCCUUUUGUAGCUUUCUCUCUUUAUUAAAUAGACGAAUUGAAUUCCCUCAACUUGCGAAUUGAUGGCCGCAGCUUUUGCUUCAAUUUCUUGUGGGUUUAGUUCAUUAAUUAUGAACUAAUUCUACAAUUCUAGUCAAGGGGACAACUGACGAUUUGGUUCGACAAUUACUGUGAGAUCGAAUCUGUUUUAAUUAUUUUCUUCAUUUAUUGGUAUUUAUAUGUUCCUUGAUUUUAAUUGCUAUGGCCUUGUGUAUGAUUGAUUAGUGCGCAAUAAUUAAUUAUUCAUAUAGGCUAUUUUGCUAAAUAGAGGUAAUUGAAUCCGUAAUUGUUCGUUAUCUCUAUCUUAGUAGCAACUGGCGUAAUUGGGUUUAUGUCAGGGGAGCAUAUGAUCUAGCUUAAACAAACCCUCGUAGCGUGUUUGUUGGUUAGGAUUGGGCCUUUCUAAUUAUUAAUGCAAUCUAGAAAUUAAAUCUUACGGUCGUACCUAGGGUUGUUUUUGGGUUAGAGAAAUAGCUAACGGUCGUACCUUAGCUAUCGAUAAAUUAAGGAAGGGUUGGUUGUUUAUCGCGUGCAUGACAACUAUAACCAAUCUAUUAAUAAAUGUUGGGAUUAUUUUUGCAUCAAUGAUCAGUGCAUGAACCAUUUCUGAAGUAUACCCUUGGCUAGAGUUUCUCUUAGUUAUUUCUUUUAAUUAAUUAUUUUCUGCAGUUAAUUUAUUUAGUUAGCAUUUAAUCCAAAACCCCCCAUACUUUGGACUCUAAAAGAAACAAUUACUCCCAGUCCCUGUGGAUUCGACCCUGCUCACCGCUAUCUACAGAAAUCACUUUUAGUUUGAGCAGGUAUUUAUUAUUGCACAGGCUUCGACGACCUGUCAAUCUUUGGCGCCGUUGCCGGGGACUGGUGCCAGAUUAAAUUGUUUCUUUUUGAGUUUAUCUUGUUUUCAUUUUUUUAAUUUAUUUUUCUCUUAUUUUUUAUUAUUAUUAUUAUUUUUUUUAUGGCUGCUAACAUUCCAUAUUUUGAUGAUAGACUGGAUUUUGUUCCUGAAUGGGGUUAUGAGACUCAUGUUUUUCCUAACGAUCAAUGGGCUGUUGCAAAUUGUGGAACUUAUUUUGACUCAAGUUAUUCAACUGACACAUGCCCCGUAUUUCAAGAUAAUUUAAGUUCUCCACUUGAUACUUUUGGAGAUUUUUCACCCCAAUAUCAAACGUGGUAUGACCCUUAUUCAAACGGGUAUGAUCAAGGAUGGUGGGAUAAUUCCAAUUUUGAUUAUGCGACCGGGCCAAUGGAUUUUCAACAGCAAGAGUCUCAGCAAUCAUCCUCCGUGUCAGGUAUGUCUCUUGAAGAAAUGAUAGGUUUACUAAUUGCUAAUUCAAAUCGAUUUCAUCAGGAGACACAAGCGAGCCUAAAUCGAUUUCAUCAGAGGACACAAGCGAGCUGUCGCGACCUGGCGGAUCAACUGCGUCAAUUGACAGCCAGGAUGCAGCGAUUAGAGGCUCACCUUGAAGAAUUGCCCUCGCAAACCAAUAUCAAUCUUGAGGAAGAUGAGAGUGCAAUUGUCCGGGCAAAUGACAUGGAACUGCAAGAGUUUCAAGAAAACGGAUUUAAAGAUGCAGUUGAAAAGGAAGCUGAAGUGCAAGAAAUGAGACUCCAAGAUCAACUCGUUCAAGUGAAUGAAUCCAGUGAACAAUCUCCAAAUGCGGUGACAUCUUCUCCACUCCUUAAUCAAUAUUUUCCUGGCUCCUAUUCUUCAACUCCUGUUACUGAAAUUGAUUUUAUUAUACCAGAAAAUUUAAAAUUUCAUGACAGGAAUAAGUUAAGAGUGGAGAUGGCAAAAUAUCUUGAACCAAUGAAUGCGUGUGAUGGAGGAGUGAGUGGAGAAUGCAGAUCAUUGUUGACUUGUUUAGCGCCAUUUACUAGUCCAUGGAAGCCCGUAACUCGUGUGCCCAAGAAUUACUCCAUCUAUGAGGGUUACCAGGAUCACGUUGAAGAUGAAGCAUUGAAGCGAGCCACAAGAUUUUAUCCUCCAUGAGCAAAACAUGAUAAUGUCUAGCCAAAGACAUUAAAGAAAGGCGCUCAUUGGGAGGCAACCCAAUUUCUUUUAGUUGUUUGUUUGAUUUUAUUUGUUAGUUUAAAUCUGUCUUCCUUGAAUUUGACUGAUUUUGGGUGUUAAUUUUCGUUUUUACUGAUUUGUAGGUGACCUUCAGUCAUGACGCGCCCGCGUGGUGACGUGCAGGAAGCUCACGAUCAGAAACUUCUGGGAGCUCUCUUACCCUCAUGACGUGCCCGCGUCAAGUCACCUGGAGAGUUCCAGAUUCCGUGCCUUCAUGGUGUGCCCACGUCACGUUCACGGGAGAGAUAAGUAUUUAAAAAAAAAAUUCAAAAACGAUUGUUGAUUGUUGGUUAUCUCUGCUUUUGAAUCUCGAAAAUAAAAUUUGCUAAUGAAAAUAAAUUUCAAAAAAAUAAAAAAAAAUUUUUUAAAAAAAAAAAUUUAAAUUUUUGUUUCACGGUAGCUUAGAUUUUCAAAUCCUAAAAAAAAAAAAAAACACAGAAACUCUUUCUUAUCAACGUAGCUUUAGUGUCAAAUAUUUUAAAAAAAAAAAAGUCUCAAAUGAAAAAAAAAAAGGGCUUUUCUUUUUCUUUCUUUUCUUUCUUUCUUCUUCUUUCUCUUUUCUGUCUUCCUUCUCCCCUGUUUCUUCUUCCUCUCUGUUGACCGAAGCCCUCUGUCCGCCGCCGCUGCUGAAGCGCCCUCAGCCGUCGCGCAGCAGCUCCUCACUCGAAGACGCCGCGGCCACAGCACCUCUGCACGCGGCCUCCACCUCUCCAUCGCGCGCCGUCAAGAGCUCCGCCGACCCACGACGCGCGAGGCACCAGCUCGCGCGCCUCCCCCACCUAGCAACUGCUGGCCGACCAGCCCCACCACCAGCCCGCGCCGCACCUGCUGGCCGACCUAUCAACUCCUAAGCUCGCGAACCUCCUCAGCUCAGCUCCACCAGCGAGCUGCUCCUCGCUCACUCCAUCGCGUGAAGACCAGGCGAGCACGGCCCGCAGCCUCUCACCGCCACUGCGCACCUCUGACCAGCUCGCAGCACCUCUCUCUGCCCUCCGUGCGCUGCCCGCGCGUGGCACCAGCGCCUCCACAGCUCGUCGACGAAGCCCAAGCUGACAGACCACGCCGCUCGUCCACUUCCACCACUCGCGACGCACAGAUCAGCGCUGCCGUUGGUUGCCCAACCUCCCUGGUGCCAGGUUUUUCUUACUAAUUUUGUGGUCUACGAUUCCAAUUUCUUGAUGAUGGGAUUUUUGAUGAUUACGAUUUCAUUGAGUAAAUUUGAUUGGCUUGCAUCUGUGUUACUGGAGCCCGUGGGUUGGGUUAUGACCUGCAACUGAUUUGCCUAGUCUAAUAUAAUUGUCAUUUGUUUGGGCUCUUGAAGUACUGUCUAGUGUUGUUUGUAUUUCUUAGUGAAUUGAGUUUGCCGUUUGAUUUCAUUCUUCCCUGUGCGUACACCAGUGGUACUGGUUGUGGUAGUUGCCUAACAUUUAUUCAUUCUCAUUGGUGUGGCUGUUGGGAUUGAAAGCUCAGAACUUGUGACUAAGUUGUUAUUGCCUAAAUGCUGACCUGCUAUUACUAGACUUGCUGAUUUCUUGGGAGCAUUUGUUGGGAUUUUGGGUGGAUAUUAGCAAGUGGUAUAUUGCUUGAUUUUUUUUACCUGUGCCUUGCUUGGAGUUUCUAGUGCAUGUUUGGGGCUGCCUUGGGAGUUAUUUGCCACAAUUGAUUGCCGUUUUGGUUUCUUCUGUUUCUGGUACUGCUUGUGCUGAUGGAUUUAUCAGUGUUUUGGGCGGCUUAUUUGAAUUGCUUCUUCCCUGUGUGUUUGGUCAGCUGUUUGCUUGAAAACCCAAACCCUUGUGCUUAUAUUUGCUCCCAGUUGAGUUAUGUGUUGGACUUUCCAAUUGGUGACAACUUUUGGGCUUUAGGGGUGAGUUCAUUUUGUCAUUAUUUGCUACCUUGUUGGGGUCAUUUUUGGUUUCACCUGAGUCUAUUGUCCUGCCUUCUGUUUUGAGUCCAUUGGAGUGACGUGAGUUGAGUAAUUUCUGCUUUUGUUUGUUGAUUUGGAAGGCUACUGUGCCACUUUCAUUGCUUAUUGCUUAGUGAUUAUGUCUAAUUAACAAUGUGCAUAGCAUGGCGCAGAAUUUGGCAGCAUUCAUGUAGCAUGCCGGUCUUAUACCUCAAUUGGGUACCUCUAUUUGGUUGGCUGCGUUCUUAUUGUCCAAUAUCUAUGCUGUUUUCAAUGGAAUUGCUGAUCUUGGGUUAAGACUUUAGCUGGCCAACUGGAGCCAUUUGUUGAGAUUUUGGGUGAACUGCAAUACUGCACUCGUUUGUUCAAUUGGGAGGUUUCUUUUGGUAUUCUGGUUGAGUUAUUUCUAAAGUUGCCUGAUGAAUUGAGAGACAUAGAUGGCUAUUGCUCUGCCCUGAUAUUGCUUGGUUGCCAGUGCGCAUUCUCUAUGCCAAGUGGCAAGGAUGUCUCAGAACUCGGCUUCCCUCCACUGUUCCCUCCUAUCCCUUAGCUGUUCAGCAGGGAAGUCUCGUUAUCCUCUUCGCUUUAAUUAUUUUAUUACCUCCAUUGAGGACAAUGUAGGAUUUAGGUGUGGGGGGAGCAGUUAUGGUGCUAGUGUCUUUCGUUCAUUUUCUUUUUCUUCUUUUUAGUGAUUGGCUCGUAAGUGCAUGCCAAGGUUUGAUGUUGGAUUAUUGCCUCUAUUUCUACUUUUGCCAAGUUUUAAUAAUAAAAGGGUAUCAAGUUAAUGUGGUUGAAUCCAAAAACAUCUCUUUGGUGAAUAUCAAUAAUUGUUUUACUCUUAUAAUUUUUUGGUUAACUUUCCUAGGCAUAGGGAAUGAUUAUUGGCAUUUUUAGUGAAUUGGUCCGGUUAUUAACCUUAGUUCUCCAUGUUUGAAAAUGAGGCUAGCUGAUGCAAGUUUUCUUUUGGUUCUUGUGUUAUAUUGAGUUUUUGUGAUUUUUAGCUCUGAAUAAACUUGACUGUACUCCGCUAUUAGUUACUACUGAGUAACCGGGGAUCUGCACCUAAAAGUGUUGAUUCUCGCGUCAAAAGAUAGUAGUUCCUAUGAGUACGUGGUCACGUGGCGAUAGAAGCUGAGUAACCGGGCUCCUUCAUCUGGCCAAUGUUGGAAUUCGCGUCAAAAGGCUCUAAUGGCUAGCGACUAAGUCUUUUGUUACUAUUGAAAAAAAACGAGAAAGAAGAAGAAGAAAAAAAAAAGAAAAAAAAGAGAAAAGUAGAAAAAUGUGAAAGAAAAAGUGAAUGCUGUGUUAGUGUAUAAUAAAAGUCAGCUUGCCGAUUUAUGGAUUUAAUGUUGAGAUUUUGGUUAAUAGUUGGACCAUUUGCUGAUAACUGUUAUGCGUCAUUCCUUUUUCUUAGAUUGGUUAACAUGAAAUUAGAGGAAUUUAUGGUUUAGAAGCUAACCGGAGUGAUGUUUCUUGGACUAGACCAUUGAUGCUUGAUUAUUAUAUUUUCUUGGUAUCUUGGCAAUAUGGUAGAUGGAGUAAUAGCCAUUGGCAAGUGUUGGUGUUUAUUUGCUGUUCUCAUGCUUGAGGACAAGCAUGGUUUAGGUGUGGGGGGAAUUGAUAGGUUGCAAUUUUAUCAUUUAUUUUAUUAUUAAUUUUCCCUAUUACUUAACCCAAUGUGAAUUAAUUAUUAGAUUCUACUCACUUUUAGUAUUUUACAUAUAUUUCAGGGAGUAGAACGAAAAUACCAUAAUAAGUGUCCGAUUUGACAGUUAUCAGGAAAGAGUUCAAGUAGCAGGCAUCCAGGGCAUUUUUGGAACAAGGAGAUACAAGUCCUUUUUGGUAAUUCGCAGAGCAGCAGCAUUAAAAGGAGGAACGAAGGGCUGAAGUAGGGUCUUCUUCCGCCUGGGAGGAACCGCCGCACAGCAGAGGGCUGUCUGGUCCUCUUAGUUUUUCCGUUUCUUUAGUUUUAGCUUAGGAUUUUGACUUUUCUUCUCGUAGGAAUUUUGGGUAGCCUUUAGCUUAGCAACUUUUGUUGACCCUUUUUUGGCCUUUUAGCUAGUUUGUUCUUACGCAUGGAAGAUGGCUGAAUAGCUGAGGCUUGUUCUUUGUUUUUCUUUGACUUUUCCUUUUGGUUUGCUUCCUGCGGACGCCCAGACCGAAGGAAAACUAUGAAGUCCCUUUUGUAGCUUUCUCUCUUUAUUAAAUAGACGAAUUGAAUUCCUUCAACUUGCGAAUUGAUGGCCGCAGCUUUUGCUUCAAUUUCUUGUGGGUUUAGUUCAUUAAUUAUGAACUAAUUCUACAAUUCUAGUCAAGGGGACAACUGACGAUUUGGUUCGACAAUUACUGUGAGAUCGAAUCUGUUUUAAUUAUUUUCUUCAUUUAUUGGUAUUUAUAUGUUCCUUGAUUUUAAUUGCUAUGGCCUUGUGUAUGAUUGAUUAGUGCGCAAUAAUUAAUUAUUCAUAUAGGCUAUUUUUUGCUAAAUAGGGGUAAUUGAACCCGUAAUUGUUCGUUAUCUCUACCUCAGUAGCAACUGGCGUAAUUGGGUUUAUGUCAGGGGAGCAUAUGAUCUAGCUUAAACAAACCCUCGUAGCGUGUUUGUUGGUUAGGAUUGGGCCUUUCUAAUUAUUAAUGCAAUCUAGAAAUUAAAUCUUACGGUCGUACCUAGGGUUGUUUUUGGGUUAGAGAAAUAGCUAACGGUCGUACCUUAGCUAUCGAUAAAUUAAGGAAGGGUUGGUUGUUUAUCGCGUGCAGGACAACUAUAACCAAUCUAUUAAUAAAUGUUGGGAUUAUUUUUGCAUCAAUGAUCAGUGCAUGAACCAUUUCUGAAGUAUACCCUUGGCUAGAGUUUCUCUUAGUUAUUUCUUUUAAUUAAUUAUUUUCUGCAGUUAAUUUAUUUAGUUAGCAUUUAAUCCAAAACCCCCCAUACUUUGGACUCUAAAAGAAACAAUUACUCCCAGUCCCUGUGGAUUCGACCCUGCUCACCGCUAUCUACAGAAUUAAUUUUAGUUUGAGCAGGUUUUAUUAUUGUACAGGCUUCGACAACCUGUCAUUGAGCAUUUGAAAAGUGAAAUUUUUGUCCACCAAACUGCUUAUACCCGGAAGGUAUUAAAGUAGUUUUAUAUGGAUAAGGCAUAUACAUUAAGUACCCCAAUGGUCAGAUCAUUAGAUCCUAAUAAGGACCCUUUUAGACCGCGAGAGGAAGUUGAAGAGAUACUUGGUCCUAAAGUACCAUAUCUCAGUGCAAUUAGUGCACUAAUGUAUCUUGCUAAUUGUACAAGACCUGAUAUAUCAUUUGCAAUAAAUUUAUUAGCAAGAUUUAGUUCUCGCUCACAAGACGACAUUGGAAUAGUAUUAAACAUAUUUUUUGUUAUCUCCAAGGAUCAAUUGAUCUUGGCUUAUUUUAUUCAAAUAAAUCUAAACUUGAAUUGUUUGGUUAUGUUGAUGCUGGAUAUUUAUUUGGCCCACAUAAAGUAAGAUCUCAGACUGGUUAUCUAUUUACAUAUGGAGGUACAACCAUUUCUUGGCGAUCUACAAAGCAAUCAUUAGCUGCCAUUUCAUCGAAUCAUGCUGAAAUAAUAGCAAUUCAUGAAAUUAGUUGAGAAUGUGUUUGGUUAAAAUCAAUGACCCACUAUAUCCGGAAAAGUUGUGGGUUAUCCUCCGAAAAAGAAAAUCCUUCAACUAUAUUAUAUAAAGAUAAUGCAGCUUGUAUAACUCAAUUGAAAGGAUGAUAUAUUAAAAGAGAUAGAACGAAAUAUAUUUCACCAAAAUUCUUUUUUACUCAUGAUUUACAAAAGAAUGGUGAAAUUGAUGUGCAACAAAUCUGAUCAGAUAAUAAUUUGACAGAUUUAUUUACCAAUGCAUUGCCAACUGCAAUAUUUAAGAAAUUGGUGAAGAAUAUUGGAAUGCGACGACUAUAAGAUCUCAAAUGAUAUUUGCAUCCGGGGGAACAAUCAAUACACAAGAAUAGUGUACUCUUUUUCCUUCAUUAAGGUUUUUAUCCCGUUGGAUUUUUUCCUAGUAAGGUUUUAAUGAGACACAUUCUUUGUGUAAUGGACAUCCAAUGGGGAGUGUUAUGAAACAACUAAAAAUGUGGAUGCCCAUUUGUAUUCUCAAGAAGAUCAAUUCAUAAUUCAUUGCUUCCAAAAGGAUUAAUUCAUAAUUCAUUGCUACAUUAUAUAAAGGAAUUACAUUGGAUGAACGGUUUCAAUCCAUAAGAGCUAUUCAUGUAUUGGAUGAACCAUUUCAUAUGGUUAUUUAUGUUCUUGUAGUAAUGAGUGUUUAAUAGAAUUGAUGUACCUUUAAUUUUGUAGUACCUAUAUAUAGAGGUACCUUGGCACCUCUUGGAUGUACUUUUUGAUUAGUUGGAAUAAUAAAAAAAUCAUUCUCCAUUUCUGUACUUUUUUUUCUAAUAUUUUAAUUCCUAUUAUAGUAGUUCAUUUUUUUUUUAGUUUUACAACAUUACUCAAAGAAGAGGGUUAUUGGACUAUAUGUUUAUUGACCUCUACUAGGGAUGACAAUGGGGGCGGGUGACGGCAAUGGGGGCGGGUGACCGCGGGCACCCGUCCCGCGGGGGGCUAAUGGGGAGAGGGAUGGGGCCGGGGCGGGGGGUAGGGGAGUGUACCCCCGCCCCAUCCCCCGUCCCGCUACCCGCUUUAAAAAAAUAAAUAUAUAAAAUAUAUAUAGGUAUAUAAUUAUAUAUAUAAUAUAUAAUUUAAUUGGUUACAAACUUAUGAUAAUAAUAUUAUUAGUUAUAUGUAUUAUAUGAUGUCUAUUAGUAUAAAUAAUAUAAUUGAUAUUAUUAAUUAUACUAAUAAUUAUAUAUGUGUACUCAUACAAAUUAUUAAUUGGUUAUACUAAAUUUACUAAUACAUUUAUACUAAAUCCCUAAUUACACUUAAUACAAUAACAUUAUUUUCAUAAAAAAAACACAACCACAAUAAUGAAUUAGUGAUUGUAUUUGUACCAAAAGUGAAAAUUUGAUUACUUUAGUUAUAUUUUUUUCAUCAUGUUGGAUUGUAUUCAAAUAAUUUUUGUUUGAUUGUUUUUAUAAGUUUCAAUUGUAAAAUUGCAAUGAAUAAUAAUUUGAUGAUGUGUUGAUAUUUUAGUACUUGAUUAUUUGCUAAAAUUUAAUCAUAAUAAAAUUAUAUAACAAAUUUUUAUUAGCUCAGCGGGAGCACCCGCCGGAGAAGCGGGGCAGGGUGGGGACGGGGCGAGGGAAGCGGGGGAUGGGGGAGGGGUCCCCCGCCCCAACCCUCUUCCCCAUCUCCCGCCCCGUUGCCAUCCCUAACCUCUACUAACUUAUUUAAGGUCAUUUUAUAUCACUAUCCAAAGAAGAAUUAAGGUCAUUUUAUAUCACUAUCCAAAGAACAAUUCUUGGGCGUUAACAUUUUUCUUACAUGCCAAGACUAUUAAUGAAAGUUGACCCAAAUCUCUCUCUCUCUUUCUCUCAAUUCUUAGGACUGAUGCCAAUUCUUACCAUUUAGAAAGAAAAAUUAGAUUGUUUAUAUAUAUGAUGAGUUCCCUCUAAGUCAUGGUUAAGAAAAAUUCUUAGUUAGACGCAGUUUUAUGAAAUGUGAAUUUCCUUUUCUUUGUCUUUAUUCGUUAGUAUUAUUGGGGUUAUUGUAUUAUGAUUGCAAUGCACAGAUACAUGGAUUUUUGACAUUUUUUUCUCAUUUUUUCUUUUUAAUUGACUCUGACUAUGUCUCAAACUCGAGACAUCAAACCUGGAGAAGACUUUUGUCCAAAAUGCUUGUAAAAAUUCAGAAGAAUAAUGUUGGACCUUAUUAUUUAAUAAUGGUGCAAUUAUGAGAGUCAUUCCUGGUUUAAUUAUCAACAUCAUGUCAUUAUUAUUUUUUUGUUUCAUAGAAAAAUAAAGUAUUCUCCGACUCGACAUUAUCAUAUUAUUUUCAAUUGGCAGCUUUAAGUGAGAAAGGCCGGUGAAAAUUUUGGGCAUUACUAGUUUAUUUAGGCCUCACGCGCUCCGUGAAGGUGCCGACGUCAUCUUCGUUUUAAUGGAAAAAUUUGAGCGCGCUUUGAUCAUAAGGAAUUCACAAUCAUCGGGCCAACAAAGAAAGCACUAAAUGGUUAAAACAAACCAUGCAAAUUUGCUCAGCACUUAAACAAUAGACUCCUAAACCGACCAUUUUACUGUCUUGCCAAAAAAGGGCAUUAAAGUAAAAACAACCCAUGCCUAACACAACUAACAAACUUCAGCACCUUCACUUCACUGCCACGUCAUCAACAACAUCUGUAAAUUUCCAAGGAAGUCCACGCACUAAAGGUGCCAUGGGGGACCUCAGGUUAGUGUUCUUAACAUCAACUCCUGUCUUUAUAUUCUUAGGAAAUAUUGAAAUUAAACAUUAUAACUAAUCCUGAUUUCCUUAUGCUGUAUUUGUACACAAUUUGGCAACUUGAUAAAAAGUUUGUUCCAAUUUAUUCCAAUUUAAUUUGUCAGCUAGUCGAAUCUAAUUUGAAUAGUAUUUAACUUUGAAAUUUGAUAAAAAGUUUGUUCAAACUUGGUUUACUAAAUAAACAAGUUAAGUUUGAACAAAAUUUCAAACUUAUUAAAAUAAUUAAAUACGUUUGAAUACUAGGGUAUUCAAUUUAAUUAGACUCGUUUGCACCCAUAAUUAAAGCAUGCACUUUUUUAUAAAUUUAGGAAUCAACAUUAUCUAUUUGAUAGCUAGCUAAUGGCCCAAAAAGUUAAUUGCCUUAAAUUCUUUUAGCAGCCAUAAAGUAUAGUUGGAGGGAUUCCCUUGAAAUUGAUUAGAUUCUUCUAUGUGACUGUGACGUAUUACUAGUCCUACCCAAAAAAAAAUGGUAUUACUAGUCCUUUUUUCUUUUUGUGGCGUGCCACCGCCGUAGGGGGCGGGGAGGGCAGUCAGUGCGAGAAUUCUAGAUGGGGUAGAAGUAGCCAAAGUUCACCUUAUUCAAAGUAAACAACCGACAAUCUCAGUUGUCGACUUUCCUGUCGAUUGCGUAUAUAUUACUAUCUUUUACCAUGACUUUAGAGGAUACCUAAUUUUGCUUGCUAUUAAAUAAUAAUUCCUGGCACCACAUAAUUCUUUCAAGAACUACCAAAACCUUCUUGAAAUCCCUCUUUUUCCUUUUAGUUCAUUUCCAAGAAACAAAUUGAACCAUCAUGGCCCCUGUCACUUCCAGUUAUGAGGUCACCUCCUCAAUCCCUCCUGCAAGGUUGUUCAAGGCCACCAUCCUUGAAGAGAAGCAUCUUCACAAGAUCUUGCCACAGGGCGUUAAGAGUGUCGAAAUCCUUGAAGGAGAUGGUGGAGUUGGCACAAUUAAGUUGACCACAUUUGUUGAAGGUAAGAUAUCAAUACAAAGUGAUUAUUUUCACACAUUUGAAGUCCUCAAAAUGUUCUUUUUUUUUUUUAACAUUUUAUUUGUGGGGGUAAGUAUGUAUGUAAGCCCUAAUAACCUUUUUUUUUUUGUUGGGUUAAAUAUUUAGGUGGCGAGCUUAAGACUGCCAAACAGAGAGUUGAUGGAAUUGACAAAGAAAAAUUUACAUACAGUUAUACUGUACUUGAAGCUGAUGGAUUUAACGAUGUAAUCGAGAAAAUCUGUUGUGUCAUCAAAUUUGAACCCUCUGCUGAUGGAGGUUCAAUCUGCAAAACCACUAAUACAUACUACCCCAAAGGUGGUGCUCAGAUCAGUGAGGAACACCUCAAGGGAGGAAAAGAGAAGGGUUUGGGAAUGGUUAAGGCUGUUGAGGCUUACCUCCACGCAAAUCCUACUGCCUACAACUAAUUAAAAUGAAUGCUACUGAAGGACUCUUCGACAUAUUUUCUUCAAGAUUGAAGUAUAAACUGAGGGUGUCUGUUUCCUUUUUUGCUUGGUUUGCUUAAGCUGUUUGGUUAAGUUAUUCGCAGCA
rnacentral:lncRNA from 1 species